CAAAGAAGAACUUAAAAAAGAACAUGAUUGGGAAAGACUCUGCUCACCGCAGGAAGCAUAAUUGGCCGCUCUCAGCCAUACGUGCACUUCAUAACUGAUACAUGUGACAAGUACACAUAUUUUUCUCCAUACAAAGAGGCUAUGAGGCAACGUACUAAUUAAUACUCACUCUGUUCUGUUUUAUAGGUAAUUUUUUGACCCCUGUUAAUUUGAAUUGUAAGUCGUCCUCACCUCUGCUCUUUUCUUUUCCUAAAAUGGCCGUCACUCCAGCCUAUUAAGAGGUGGAGACAACAAGCACUAACUAGGAGGCAAGAAAUGGCGACGGGACCGGGAAAGAAAGGGGGACGUGGACAGUGAAACGGCGGCCAUCAUACUCUAUUUUAUCACGCGCGCGAUGACCUCCAAUAAGCUAUGAACUUCCAACUCGUGAAGAAUUUUGCAAUCUAGAGCUAACAUAACAAGAACCACUAUAAGAAAGCAAAAGCACUCAAGUUACAAGCAUAAAAUGCAGAAAUGUAAAGGAGUGAGUUAGACAGGAUAUGAAAACUCGGCACAAUGAUUGAUUCUAGGUAUCAGUAGGCAAAUUUGACCCAUAGUCCAUGUCUAAGGAUAUGCUCCUGACCACAAAGUCUCUCCGUGUCAAAGACAUGGGCUCGUCUCAAAGGCUCUUGCUGAAUUGAUGAGAACUUUCCCACAAAAGCAAAGCUCACCACUCUUUGUUGCAAUCACCUUGAUGUCAUAUCCACUAUGGAGCUUCUCCAUUAAUGAAGGGAUCUUCUUGUCCCACACACACGGUCGUCAUCACCGCUCCUGACCAAGUAGGAGGUUCGAAGACUUUCCGAAGAGCCACCAAGGUCCCAAGAUGCUAGGCCACCAAGCUUACAAUGUUGGUUCACUCCAAGAACCAAGUACAAGGCAGCAACACGUUGCUCUUUCUUCCUCUAAGCCUAAUCUAGCACUAAUCACUCUCUAAACUUGUGCUAAUUGUGUUGGAUGAUUACUUUGGCACUCUAGCGGAAUGAAUGUGUUCUUGAUGAUAUGUGUCUUACACUCUAAUGGUCUUCUCUACACACUCUAGCAAACUCAAAUAGGUGAGUAGGGGAGGUAUAAAUAGUCCAUCCACCUAGCCUCCAACAACUAGUAAAAGCCAGUAGCCAUCAGGUGAUCCGACGCUCACAUUGGGGCAAGUACCAGAUCAUCUUGUGCUUCCUUUUUUACCAAAAUAGCCCCUACCCGAAAUUCCUCCAACACAUUAUCUGAUGGUGCAUCAGAUCUUCAUGUGUCUCUUCUAGGCUUCCAAUUCACACCAAAAUGCUCUUUGGGACUUCGGCAAUAUUCCGAUGAAAACUUUGAUACCUCCGUAGAUUUACCAUUGGAUGAUCCGGUGCCGAAGAAAACUUCCUCAACUUGCCUUGCACCAUCUUUGCAUAUCCGUCUUGUGACUACUCCAAUGGUAACAGUUCAAGGGCAUGGUAUCUUCUGGUGAUCUAGGGUUUACUUCCUUCAUUCAAAAUUCAUUCGCUGGCUUUGUCUGAUGGUCUGUCUAUUUUUCUGGUGCCCAAUAAGCUUGAGCAUCUGCUCAUGUUCAAAACUUCGACGCAUGUAAACUGAGGGGCAUCGGAUAUUCCGGUGACUAUAUUUUUAUAUUUUUCCAUAACAUGGACACCAUGACUUGGAUCCAAUAGAAUAAUUCAAAGUCCUUCAUUUUAACAUGGCUUGAAUUACUAUAUUUGGAUAAUUUUGAUCUUGCCAUGAUUUGGAUUCCAUCCUUCGGACCUAUAAAUCUUACAAUUGACAUGCUUGACAAACCGAUAAUCCCGAUGAUUAUGUUGAUUACAAAAAUCACAUGCAAUGAUCUAAUGUGGCUAUAUUUCCUAUAUAACACGAGUUGGUGUUACUAUAUCCCUGCUCUGUAGUUGUCGUGCUAAUCAUUUUCACUUUUAUGUUUCAUCUUUUCAAGGAUGGGAAGCUAACUCACAAAAGAUGGCCAUGGCUCCUAUACCAAUGCAAAACAUGACGCGUUGAUGGCGAGUGUGGACUUGAUCAGCUGUAGGGUUGUAGCUUGCAGUACAUUUGUGAGUGCUGUGUUUGCAUCAUGAAGUAAAUAAAUAGGGGUCCAUGUGCGGAUCAGGUGUGAAUUAUUGAUAGUAAAUACUCCCUAUUCUCUUUUGAUAGAUGAUUUAUUUCUAAAAAUCAGAGUUUCAGAAUUGAUAGUCCUAUUUGCCAUCGGUACCUAUUGCAUCUCCGGUCCGAUGCUGGAGGACCUUUGUGUUUGCAUGCACAAUAUAUAAUUUUGAUAUGGGCCAUGGUAUUAAAACACAUUAGCACCGAGGAGUCUCGCCGCAAAAUCUUUUGUACCAACAAGAGUAUAUCAUGACUCGGAUUUCUAUGAUAAGCAGGAUUUUUUUCCUUAGUCAUUGUGACAAGGUGAAAUAGGUUUCGAUGAAUGGAGGGAGUAUAAUUUUAAACUAAUGUGUAAAAAGACAAGUAGUCAUGUCGUUGUAAUAUUAUCAAAAUAGUACUUGAAGAUUUUCCAAUAGAUGGAUAAUAUUACUUGGUUGCAACAUAGUCUAGAUAUAAAUGGGACGGUCAUUCUUUCCCCCAGUACAUGGAACAAGUCUAUAUAAUUAUAUUAAUCUAUAUUGCAUGAAUCAUUUUAUGAUUUUUAAAAGCUCAGUCAUGAGCUCGAAUUCGCAGCCGAGCUCACACAUCAAAGCAAGAUGCCCAUCUCCAGCGUCAUAUAGUGAUAUACUGAAAACUGCAAAGCCUCUCACAACAUUGUUAAUCCUACUGAGAGUAAGAUGGUCUUCCACCCUGAUAUACGGGCGCAGUGGUCACCUAAUCUACAAAUAGUAGUUUAUGCGAAAUAUUGACUUAGCCUUCGUACAUUUUUAGAAUUAAGUUAAAGAAAUCAAUAUUAAAGUAAUUUAUCUAAAAUGUGAACUUAGGUAUUAGCAUGACACGAUGAUGAUGCGGUUUUUUUAGUGAAGCAUGACAUGAUAAUGUUGAAAUGAUUGAAGUAGCUUAUUCGUUGUCCACCUCCUUCGCUGUACAGCCAUCAAGAUUGAACAUCACGGUCAGGGCCGCAACCACAUCUGGUGGCAAGGGGCCGUUGAACUUGGCCACAAAAUCCAUUUUUGCAGCCUCAAUUGGAUCAAGAUCAUUGAAGAGCCCGAGCUUCCGGCAGAGGUUGCGCUGCGCAUGCUGCAUCUGAGGAGUCAUCGGAUAUGAUGAGCAUUGGAGAGGCGGAAGCUACGACGCACUGAGGACAUAUCGAAGAUUCUUCGCGUGCGGCGGUGCAUUGGAGGUGCUGGUGGUGCCGAGGGUGUUGACGACCUGCAAGAAGCGGCAAUUUAGGCAGAGGUAACCGAUAGAUGAGGCCAUUUCUUCAACAGCAAGGCGCAAAUCACCUUCCUUUAUGCAUCAAAUGUGAAAUUACAAGCGAUAUGUGGCUCGUGUCUAUAUCCCAAUCCGAUCGAUCCGAGUUUGUCUAUUGAGAUGAGUUGUCACCGGCGCAUAUCAAAGUUCCAGUCCAAUCGAACGGAGUGAUGGUGUGGUUGCAUGUCACUGGUGGAAAAACGACCUUCCAUCCUCAACAAAAAUCUCAGUAGUCCUGGUCUAAAUUUCGUAGUCCGUGGAGACACCUUUAAUCCUGGUUGGUGUUACAAACCCAAACUAAAGCCCUAAAGGUGAUCCUUUAGUCCCGGUUGGUGUUACAAAUUUAGUCCGGGUUUGUAACACCAACCGGGACUAAAGGGUCACCCACUAGUUACUAAAAAAGAUUACAUCCCCUACUUAGUCAGAUGUGCUAUGUAGGUGAGAUGGUAAGGAAGCUACGCACCGCACAUGCACACACGCAUAUUUCACGUAAAAAAUCGCUCACAAUGCGACGUGCGCGUGUGUUGGAGCCUCCUGGGAAUUUAUAAUAUUUUUUUGCCCAAAACCUUUUAGGAAUUUAUAAUAUUUUUUGGCCUAAAACCCUUUAGUCCCGGUUGGUAUUAUCAAUUGGGGCUAAAGACCCGGGACUAAAGGUCCCGAAUAAUUAGUCCCGGUUGGAAAAACGAGAUCUAUGAGGGUUCCCAACCGGGACUACUGCUCCUUUCUCUACCAGUGAGUGUGAGCGAUCAAUGUUGUUGUUUCGGUAAUUUACCCCUCUUGAGCUGUUGUAUCCUGUUGUACCUAGUCUGGGAUUCUAUCUUAUUUUUAAUAUAAUCGGCAGGUAAAAGGUAAGUUAUUCGUUAAACUAAAUUUAAAGGAAUGUUGCAUCUAGUGUUGACUAUAUUUGUUAAAUAAAGAAUAAUGUUUGACUAUAUAUAUAUUCACGUUGGCUGCCCCUACCCUGCCGUACGGAGCAAAAGUGAAAGAUUUUUCUGAUGAAGUAAAAAGAAUCAUAUUGUGCCCUGCAGGAGGGGAUAAAAAAUAGAGGUACAAUCUAUCUCUAAAUAAUAGUAUAAGGGCUUGUUCGGAACACAAGAACGUAAAACAGAGAAAAGGAAAAAAUAUGAAGGAAUAGGAUAAUGAUGUAAUACCAAAACAGAGCAUAGGAAAAACACAGGAAUGUGUAGGAAGAGGUGUUUGGAACAUGGAAAUUUUUGUUACAACGAUAAAAAAACAUUUUGGUAAUAAAAAUGCAUUAGUGCUUAAUAAUAAAUGAUAGAUUACUUAACAUCAUUUUAAAAUGACAGAGAGCUCUUUAGUUCAACAUCUUGUGGGCCCAUGGCUUUCUAUAGUACGUAGAGCCUUAUCUAUUUAUUUUUUGCAAAAACUGUAACCUUAUGUCUUCAUUUGCAAAAGCUGUGGAAUAUGAUUGGAGCUAGCUAGCUAGGAAGGUUACGGCCAAGGCUAGGGGAGCCAUGGCGACCUGCUACUCUGGAGGACUUCGAAAGGUGGUAGAAGGCCACGGCGCCGAGGCUGCUCAGGAGGACCGUUCCCCGGAGCAGGCGCAGUGGCUACCAACGCCGGCGGUCUGAUUCGGUGGCUCCCUUGGCGGCAGGAAGGAGAGAGCAGCAGCCAUCUAUGGAGAAGACACGAGAAAGAUGCUUUCCCUUGGUUCUGAGUGGAUGCGUUUUUUUUCCUGUGAAAUGCACAUGAAUGGUCCCUUUCCUCUGGAAAAGAAGUCUGUAAUCCUUUGUUCCAAACGCCAUCACUCAAUUCCUUUCCAAAGGAAAGACACACUCCAAAAUCCCUAUGAAAAACCACGAGUGGAAAACGCAGCAUUAGUCCCGGUUGGAUAGGAUCAUAGAUCCCGAAAAUCCCUUAAAGGCGCGGCCACGCCAGGUGCAGCACGGGCUGUUUACCAACAGGGACUAAAGGGGUACAUGUAUGCAACUGCAUGCGCGCCUGCAUGGCAUGAACGUACCCCUUUAGUACUUAAGAUUUUUUUAAAUUCUUUUCCAUAUUAAUAUUGUAUGCAAGUCGUAUAUAUAUUUCAUGAUAGUAAUAUAUAUAUAUAUAUGUAUAUAUAAUUCUUAGUAUAUUAUUGUUGGAGCUAAAAAUCGGCCGAUGACCUUCAGCAUCGGACACACGAUCCGGGAGAAUCUGCUUAGCUCCUAUUCGGGUGAUUGCCCUGGUGCGGUUCGCACGGCGUGCCAGUCAAUCUGACCUGUUGAUUGACAAGGAAAGAAACGUAUUAAAUCCCAAGGAUUUCGAUCGACUAAAGUUCCGAUCUGUCUCGAAAAGCGUAUCAGCAAAUUGGCCGAUUUGCUAUGAAGAUGACCGGCUAUAGAACAACUGACAAUCACGCAGCGAUUGUAAAGAAUCUACCAGAGCAGACUAGACAACGCUACGAAGCAACACUUGAAAUAGAUCUAAUCGGCUGUAUAAUGAUAAAUAAAAAUAACAGUAAUAAAGCCGACAGUUCAAAUCUCAAGCUGGAUAACCGGUGAUAAAACUAAAACAAUAGAUGAAACCUAUAAUUCUAGUUAAUAUCGAUAACUUGUGAAUAAAUCUAAACAAAACGACAGCGAUGCGCCCGAAGUUAAAGCUUAGAUAUUACUCGAUAAACGGAACUUACAGAAUCGGCCGGAGAUCGUGUGGAUGCAGCCCUGCCAACCCGUACAAACUCGUGAAAGAAAAAGAUGUAUUGGCGAAGUUGCCGACUUGAAAGUAAAGUACGAUGAAAAAGUAGAUUGUUUGUAUUGAUUGAUGUGUUUUUUACAAAUCUCUAAAGAUGGCUAUUUAUAGCAUGUUACAACUGAUUUUCUAACCGACUAGGAUCUAUCUCUAAUUUUUUAAACAAAAACAAAUAUUUACAAACACAACUCGUAUCGGAGUUGGUAAUCAUACUCUCACGGGCCAAUCUUUCUCUAUCUUCUUUUUCUGGCCCACCUUAAGCCCAUAUUGGCCCGAUCGCUCAGCUUUCUAAUCGGCCGACCUCCACCAACUUCGUCUGCAUAUCGCUCAAAACACUGUAGCGCCAAUUGGCUGAUUCCCAACUGUAGCACCAAUCGGCCGAUUCCCAAUCGUAACCUUUUAAUCCGCCGCAUCGAUCAAUCCUUUCCUCUCUUGACGCCGAUCCAAAACGUGUCAAAAUCUGGUGUCAACACAUGCCCCCCAGUUUCGGAGUAAAGUAUAACUUUUACUUCGAAAUUCUUUCUUUAACUCUCCCUCCGAAACAAACACGGCAAAAACCCCCUUUUGUUUCGCGGUCUUCUACCUGAUGAUUGCAAUCUUUUCGAACUGGGCGCCUGAGGGAACUGCUCCCCCGAAAUUCGUAUAGAUGGCACGGUAAAAAUCCUGCCUUUACCCCUUCUCUCGGACCGUCUUUAAAUACUGACAUCCUCUACCGCUUCUUUUCCACGAGCUCAGUAACUUCCUCCCCGGUGAAUCAUUUUCCAUCUUCUCCAAGCGCCCCUUUGGCUUCUAGUCACAUUCCGCUCCAUUUUCCCUCAAUGGCGGCGCCAUCAGCAACCCUACCAGCAACGGAGGCUCCACCGGCAGCUCCAUCAGCAACGGUAGUUCCCUUGGCGACCCCAUCAGCAACGAUGAGCUUCAUUCCAGAGGUAAACAUCCGAAACUUUUCCUUUUCUCUUUUUACAGCCCAUGCAUAUUUUAGAUCUAUUCUUAAUUCUUCCCUUUUUACCUUCUUUAGGUGGUCAAACAGCAAAUCACCAUCCGCCUUUCUGAAGCUCCUGGUCUCAUCUGCCUAGGCCCUAUGGGGAACCUAGACCCGAAUGAUCUGAUUAAUUUAGAAACCCAUAGAAUCCUGUUUAAGCAAUCACCUAUGGAUUUGAGCCAGUGGUCGGGCACUUUUAGAUCUUGGCCGAAUGAAACCCCCGGCUGAAAAGAGUGGUACCAAAGAAUGGCCAACUCCAAGAGAGUUCAAUGGAAUGAAUUAAAAAUCGGACAGUGCAUCAAUCUAUCUUUGUCCUAGAUGGAGGAAAAAUGAACCCUUUGUGAUAGCAGCCUCCUACUUCUGGUCUGACGCGCUUAAUGCGUUUCUCUUCGGGCACGGACCCAUGACCCCAACUCUGGCCGAUGUUCUGAUGCUGACCGACCUCGAUAUUUCCUCCCCUGAUACACCCUUUAAUUAUUUGAUCAAGCCGACCCAUCGGCUGGAAACGAAAGGAAUCGGCGGGUGGAAAGGUUAUAUCAACAAAAACAUGAGGACCGGGAUGAUUUUAGAAAGAGAAUACGCAGCCUUCUUGAUGAUGUGGCUGGAGAAGCACCUUUUCUGCGGCAAAGCAGUCGGCCCUUCUUCCAACACACAAGCUCUAGCUGAAGCCCUGUCAAGAGGAGCCGCCAUCCCUCUCGGGAAGCAUCUGCUAGGAUCGGCCUACCACAUGAUGCACCAGAUUGGUGUCAAACUGUCAAAGGGAGAGCCGAUUGGUAAUCCUGGUGGUCCCUGAUGGUUUAUCACCCUCUAGAUCAACUUGUACAUGAGCAAGGUCUUCCAACAGCAGAUAGAGACCAAGACAUUCCCCAACAUUGAAUCAGAGGAAAACCCCAUAGUACGACGAUGGUGCACCUCUUUCGGAGAAGUGGCGUCAGCUUUCCUUGGUUGCCAGUUCACCGCCACCCAGACAGUCGGGUAUUUCAGAUGCUUCUAUAAUGGCUUUAGUGAAGAAACUACAAGUUGGUAUCCAUACCAGAGAACAAAGCCACUCUUUGAGCUUCCCUUCUGUUAUGACUCGACGUCCAACUCCUUUGACAACGAUCUCACGGACGCCUUGAUGAAACUAGGGAUCUUACUAGCAAACUUCUUCUUCGGGAAGGAUUCCCCAACUUAUGAGUUUGACAACCCAUCAGUUGCAACACGGUAGUUCGGCCUUGGUCAGUUGCCGAUUCAGGUUUACUUUGCCGGCCAUGCAAAAUUUUGUGAUGAGCUCACCAAGGGCCUUGAUUACAAUCAACUGUGCAAUCUAGUGCCAGACUCCAGUACCAUUGACCUGAACAACUGGGUGGUAGCUCCUUUUGCUGUCCAGCAAUUUAAAUUAUGGUGGGGAGAGUGGAAGCAACAUCUCUUCUGUGUAUCUCCCACGACAUACUGUAAUGACCUGGACCCUAACAACAUCGACCUGAACACAGCGGUACUGCUAUCUUCUCAGCCGAUUUCAAUGUCAUUCCCUUUAUAUCAUGAACUUAUUGCUAACUUUUAUUUCCUUUUACAGUUCGGAAGUCAACUUCCUCCAACGCGCAGCUGAAGUGGCAGGCCGAUAGAAAAUUGCUACCCAUAUACAUCAUUUCCCCUUAUUGGCUAUCAUGCCCCAACCGUCGAAGAUAUCACCACCGGCCGAUCAAAACAGAAGCCAAAGACAACCUCUUUGAAGAAAACAAGCCACCGGGUGCGCCCCUGUGUAGAAUCGGCCGAUCCACCGGCGGCGGCCUCGUCUGAAUCCUUGGCUGCACGACCCUGCCGAUUAUCGAGGAAGUCGAUCUUCAGGCUGCUACAGAAGCUAGGGUAGCUGUUGCAUCAUUGUUGGUAGAAGCUAUUCAGGUAACUUCGUAUACCCUACAUCCUUCUAAAUAGGCCGUCGAUAUUAAUUUCUCCCUUCUGUUAGGCCGCGCAAAUUGCUCCAGCACAAUCUCCGCAGCAAUCGGCCACAUUCCAAGCAGAAACCGAGGCACCAGCAAUUCCUCCCUCUGAGGUAGAGAAUAUCUGUUUAACCCCAAUUUCUUAAUGCUUAACCAAAAUCUAACUGAUUUUUGAUGCAGACCCCUCUGGACACAUCAAUUGUACCCUUCAAUCGGCCAUUGGCCGGACGACCCGCGGAGGUAUAACAUUUAUCACUUGUCAUCAGACUUAAUCACUUGCCUCAUACUUAUAGAAAUCCGUUUCUUAAUCCUUUCUAGGAAGCUGGCCCAAGCAUAGCACCAAUAAUCGUUGAAUCCUCUUCCUCCGAUGAGCCAGUUGCGCCAGUUCCCGAGAUGAGGGUAGCACUCCUACCGACGCAAGUAGAAGAAAUCUGCUUUAAAGAGGUAAGACACUUGACACCCAAAUCGGCCAAUUUCCAAUUACCAUCGGCUAAUCCGUAUUUACUUAUUUAUUCUUUCUCAGGAGCAAGAUACCCCCAACAACAGUCUUUUCUCUUUCGCGGUUGCACUUUCUGAUGAUGAAGAGGUUGCUUCAUGUCAAAUCGCACUUAGCUCAAUCCCUGAUGACGUCCACGCCAAGCUUGAGAGCAUGCGGACCCUCCUCCAAGAUGAUAUUGCCCGACUACUGGAAGACGCCUCGCCGAUUCGGCAGCUUUUCAGCGACAUCAGAGGCCGAGUUCCUGAAGAGGCAGAAGAGGAUCUGGCACCCGCCGCAUACAUCGAGUCAAUGCGGGUCCUGGUGUUUAGGGCUCUACGCCACAUGGCCGAUCGUGCCAAGUUAGCAAAAGCUCGCGAAGAGGAGGACUCCUAUAAGCUUCGAGCUCAAGAAGUGCACCAAAGAAUCAGCUUCCUUGAAAGCUCUCACCCAGAUAUCGUCAGUGCCAUAGACCGCCUUAAACGGCGAAGGGCAGAGCUCGCCAAAGAGAUGGAGCAGGUGACCAAGGCCAUAGCCGCCGAAGAAAAGAAACUUCAAGACCUCCCAUCCGUCAUCACCGAUUUGAAGCAGGAGAGGCAGAACUUGGCCCACGAAGCAAUCAAACUUCAUCUUCACAUGCCAAAAGUCCCGGGAUCGGCUGACGAUAACCAUAAGACUUUAGAUUCGGCCGAUCAAGUUAGGCAGCGUGCGAUUGCAGCUAUUAAUGCCCUCCUUGGGUGAAUUGUAAAAACACUGAAUGCUCUAUAAAAACAUUAAUGUCCUUUUGCCGUUGACGUGCGGAUUCAAACUUAGACUGUCCUCUGUGGCAGCCUUUUCAUUUAAUGAUCCUUUAUUCCGAUGGGACGCGUCUUACCAACCCCUCAUCCUUUUCCUUCUAUAAGUAUGAAAUCUCGUAUCAUUUCCAAAGGUAUUCACAUCACCCAUCUUCUUUUCCUCUAGUAGUUUGAUCUCCAUACCCUUCAAACUAGAUGCCCAGAUGUCUUCUUCCUCUUCUUCCUUCUCCAUCAAUCAGGUACGAAAUCUUCCUUCAUUCCUCCGUCUGACCUUUCAAUCAAUCUGACGAUAGUUGUUCGCUGCUUUUUAGCCGAGACGCCUUACUCCUGACCUGGAACGAGCGAUCGAGGUCGUGCAUUCCGACGAACCGCUGACGCAGGCGGACAAAGAUCUGAUCAGGGCUCAUUUCGAAGAACUCAAAGAUCAUAUCCCCACUGACGUUCAAAAGAUCUUGGACCAUAUGGAUGUCAACUGCUUCAGGCGGCCAUCAACCGAAAGGAGUCAUGCGCUUACUCGUUAGGUCACCCUUGAGGAUGCCGCAGCAGGGACAUCCCAACCACCUCUUGACAAGAGCCACCCACUUCCUCUUCAAGUUGAGGUCGAAGCUGCCAUGGAAGAUCUGGAGGAAAAGAGCACCCACCUCUUGAUAGAAUUAGGCCAGAUCAAGAGGGAGAUUAAGAAAAAGCAUGGUCAAUAAAUGUGUUGGUACUUUUGUUCUAAGGGCGACUUGUACCGUGUCGGCCAUGUACCCUAUUGCUUGUACCGAAUAAUAAAUCGGCCAGACUAAUCGAAUGUUUCAUCCUUAAGGCGAUGUUAUCUUUGCAUCGGCUAUAUAAACAAAAGCUAAUAGGAUUUGGCCAUGUCAUCCUGAUGCACCCUAUUGUCAGUUAUGCAUCUACCCAUAUACUGGGAUACUAUCUCUUCAGAUACCUUCCAUUCAAGGCUCUUGUGAAUUCCUCUCCUUCGAUAGUUUCUAGUAUAUACUCGUUUCCCGGAGCGUAUCGGCUGAUUCUAUACGGCCCUUCCCAAGUAGGUGACCAUUUACCGAAUCUGGGGUCUUUAGACCCUAUCGGCAGCACCAACUUCCAUACCAAAUCUUCUUGGGAGAAUUGUUUGACUUUGACCUUCUUGUCAUACUACCUAACCACCCUUUUCUUAUUUUCUUCAAUGCUGAUCAGGGCCCUUAAUCGCUGAUCUGCCAAAUCGUCGAGCUCUCCCUUCAUGAGGAGGGAAUAGUCAUUGGCCGUCAACUGAUCUUGAAGCGAUGUGCGCCUUGACCCCAUCCUUAAUUCCCAAGGCAAUACUGCCUCGUGAUCAUAUACCAACUGAUAAGGAGAUAUUUUAGUAGCCCCAUGGCAGGCCAUCCUGUAAGCCCAUAAAGAUUCAGUUAAAGAUAGGUGCCACUUCUUAGGUUGUUCUUCUAUCUUCCUCUUGAUCAACUUGAUUAUCCCCUUAUUGGACGAUUCGGCCUGACCGUUAGCUUGGGCAUAAUACGGAGAAGAUUCAACAAUUUAAUCCCCGUAUCGGUGGUGAACUCUUCAAACUCUCCUGAGGUGAACAUCGUUCCCUGAUCAGUCGUGAUGGUUUGAGGGAUACCGAACCGAUAAACAAUAUGGUCCCUUAUGAAAUCGACAAGAGCGGCCGAUGUCACGGCCUUCAACGGAACUGCCUCCACCCACUUGGUAAAAUAGUCAGUGGCUACUAAUAUAAACUUGUGUCCCUUGCUUGAUGGAGGAUAAUUCUAUCCGAUGAGGUCUAUUCCCCAACCUCUAAACGGCCAUGGUUUGAUUAUCGGAUUCAUAGCUGAGGCUGGUGCGCGCUGCACGUUGCCAAACUUCUGACAAUCUUGACAACCUUUAUAAUAUUUGAAGCAAUCUUCGAGUAUCGUCGGCCAAUAAUACCCAUUAUUUCUAAUCAUCCACUUCAUUUUGUGAGCCGAUUGGUGAGCUCCGCACAUGCCCUUGUGAAUUUCUCCCAUCAGAACCUUUGCUUCUUUUGUUCCCAAGCAUUUGAGUAAAACUCCAUCAAUCGUUCGGUAAAACAAAUCAUCUUCGAGCAGCACAUAUUUCGUGGCCUGAAAGCGUAUUCGCCGAUCCACUUUCUUGGAUGGAUCUUUCAAGUAAUUGGUGAUCUCUUUUCGCCAAUCAUCGGCCGCAAGUUCCAGAGUCAUGGUGCCUUGAAUCGGCCGAUACCCGGACGCAUGUUGGGCAAGCCUAUUGGCCUCUUCAUUGUAAUUUCUGGGAAUAUGCUCAAUAACCGCAGACUUGAAUUCCUUUAAAAGUUGGAGGCAAUCUUUGUAGUAAAUCCUCAAGACAUCAUCUUUGCAUUCAGAUUUCCCUGUUAAUUGAUCCACAAUGAGCAUGGAAUCUCCAAAAAUUUCUACCGCAUCGGCUUUGAUCUCUCUCAACAAUUGAAUACCUUUUAGGACGGCUCGGUAUUCCGCCUGAUUAUUGGUCGCGGAUGCCUCUAUUGGCAGAGAGAAAUCAUAACUUGCCCCCCGAGGCGAUAUGAGGACGAUUUCGAUUCCUGAUCCGGCCCCACACGAAGAACCAUCGAUGUACAGAGUCCAUGGGGCUGGUUCAACGACAACGAUUUCCGGUCCGCAAUGCUGAGCCAUGAAAUUGGCUAUGACUUGGCCCUUGACAGCUUUGGCCGAUUCAUACCUUAGGUCAAACUCUGACAGAGCUAGGAUCCACUUUCCAAUCCGUCCUUUCAAAAUUGGCAAUGAUAGCAUGUACUUUACUACGUCAUGCUUGCAUACGACUAUGCACUCUGCCGAUAACAGGUAGUGCCUGAGCUUGGUACAUGAGAAAUACAGACACAGGCAAAGCCGUUCCACCGGGGAAUAUCUUGUUUCGGCGUCCAGGAGUCUUCUGCUGACAUAAUAUAUUACCUGUUCUUUUCCUUCGAACUCCUGUACCAGCGUCGAUCCGAUAGCCCAUUCAUCGGCCGAUAAGUAUAGUCUGAAUGGCUUGUCAACCUGUGGCGGGACUAAUACAGGUGGCGAAAUCAAAUAUUGCUUGAUGUUUUCCAACGCUUUUCGCUGCUCUUCUCCUCACACGAAUUCCUGAUCAGGAUUCAACUUCAAAAAAGGAGUGAAAGCUUGAAUACGCCCGGACAAGUUGGAUAUGAAUCUUUUGAUGAAGUUGACCUUGCCGAUUAGGGACUGCAGCUCAGUUUUAUUUUGUGGGGCUACAACCUUGUUAAUGGCAGCUAUGAUCUUCCGGUUGACUUCUAUCCCGCGCUCAUGAACCAUGAAUCCUAGGAAUUGUCUGGCCAACACACCGAACGCACACUUGUUUGGGUUCAUUUUCAACCCAUGCUUCCUUGUGCACUCCAACACUUCUCGCAAAUCGGCCAGAUGCUCCUAAUGUCCCCUUGACUAGACCAUGACAUCAUCGAUGUAGAUUUCUACCAGUACACCAAUAAGCUUGUGAAAUAUAUAGUUCGUAGCUCGUUGAUAUGUGGCGCCGACGUUUUUUAAUCCGAAGGUCAUCACUACCCACUCGAAUAGACCGAGGUGGCCCGGGCAUCUGAAAGCCGUCUUCAAAAUAUCUUCUUCGGCCAUUAAUAUUUGAUUGUACCCAGCAUUACCAUCCAUAAAACUGAUGACUUUAUGUCCUACGACGACAUCUAUCAAGACAUCGGCUGUCGGAAUUGGAUACCCAUCCAUCGGCGUAGCCUGAUUAAGGUUCCUGAAGUCGAUGCAUACGCGCAACUUUUCAUUUUUCUUGUAUACGGGUACAAUAUUAGAAAUCCACUCGGCGUAACGGCACUGCCGAAUAUAUCUCGCUUCAAUCAAUCUUGUAAUCUUGGCCUUUAUAUCAGGUAGAAUUUUAGGGUUGCAUCGUUGUGCAGGCUGCUGAUACGACCGAUAUCCUGGUUUUAUAGGUAACUGGUGUUCGACAAUGGACCGGUCUAGACUAGGCAUCUCAUGGUAUUUCCAAUCAAAACAAUCUUUACAUUCUUUCAAUGAACUUGUCAGUUUACAUUUGUACUCGGGAUCCAAGCUAGCACUAAUAUACGUCGGCCUUGGUUUGCUGCCAUCACCUAAGUCCACCAUCUCCAAUGAAUCGGUUGACGUAAAUCCGUGCCCAAGCUUCUCGUUUUCUCGGACGAACUGAUCCAUCUAAUUUGAAUCCUCAGAGCCGACUGCUUGGAUCCGUUGUAGGCCAAAAUUGGACACUUUCAGGAAAUCGUUGUCCCAAGUUCUACCGGAUAUGCACUUGACGUGUUCGCAGCUCCACUGUUGCGCAUCAGCCGCAACAACACAGUAGGCAGAAUUGGCGGUGACUAUCUCGAUGUUGUCGCCGACCCACUGUACGAUGCAUUGGUGCAUUGUAGACGGGACGCAGCAAUUCACGUGUAUCCAAUCGCGACCGAGCAACAUAUUGUAGGAUCCUUUGCCAUUAAUAAUAAAGAAAGUAGUGGGAAGGGUCUUACUGACGAUGGUGGGGUCGACGCAGAGUGCUCCGCGGGUGGGGGACACAUUGCCUUCGAAAUCCUUGAGCAUCAUGUCCGUCUUGGUUAGAUCUUCAUCACUUUUGCCCAAUUUUCGGAACAUAGCAUAUGGCAUGAUAUUGACUGCGGCACCUCCAUCCACCAGUAGCCUAGUGACAGGUCGUCUGUUAACGUGUCCUUUGAAGAACAAAGCCUUGAGAUGUUGUCGUUUUUCGUCUUCCGGUUUCUCAAAAGUGGCUGUCAUUGGCUCCAAAGCAAAUUGCGCCAUCUGCUCCUCCAUCCUUGUCGUGUCGUCCCGAUCGGCGAGGGCCAUGAACUCCAUCGGCAAGAUGAACACCAUGCUGACGUCAGCUACCGAUUCCUGAUUGUUGCCUUCCUCAUUGUUGUUUCUUCUCGGGCGCCAGACUCGAGACCUGUCAUCUUUCUUAUCCACACCCUGCCUCUGCUCUUCUUCUCGUUGUUCCCCUUAGCGCAGAUGUUGGAUCCUUCGUUUUUGGAAUUUGAUCAAUCCAUCAAGGCACCACCUGGGGUUCACCAAUUUGGCCGGCGGUUUGAUGCGCUCCUAGUUUGGUUCUCGCCCUAGGGGGUUUUCAUUUGACACCUUAGCAUCGGCCAUCUCUUCUAGCCGAUCGUGUGCGCUGGCUCUGCCCCCCAGCCACUUGCGCUGGUCAAUCCUGCCCCCCGGCCGAUCAUACUGUUCAAAUCUGCCCCUUGGGCGAUCAUACUGGUCAACUCUGCCCCCCAGCCAAUCACGUACUGAAAGGCGCCGAUCCUCUUGUUCGCGCCAGUUUCUGCUGAUCGGCUCUAAUCCUCUAUCUCUGGAGCGUGACCUCUUAAACGAGCGACUAUUGCGAUAUGGACUGCUGCACUCAGGGCAAUUAUCAGCUGAUGGUAACCUGAGGUUAUUUUCCCAGCAGUGGAUGAAGAACGGGCAUCGCCAAUGAUCUUCGUGUCGGCACAUCAUCUCUUCGCGGUGUCUCGAACUUUCCUGCUGUCGCUGAUAUUUGUUGAGCAAGAAUUGGGAGCUGAUAGGUCUACGCGGUCUCUCUGAUUCUUCGCCCUCGUCUUCGACCCGUCUUUUCCCUUUGACAUCUUCAACCGUGGCCUGAUUUCUGGGGUCCACGGCACCGCUUCUCUUAGCCGAUUCCAACAUCAACACCUUGAUUUGAAGCGCGUUUCUUCCCGUAUCAACCAUGUCAGUAGGGAAAGGAUGCUGAUCAAUCUUCAUUGGCUUUACUGGCUUCGCCGGGACUUCAAAUUUGAGUCUGCCUUGCUCAAUGGCCGACUGUAUCUGCUGAUGGAAGAUUUUGCAUUCGUUUGUGUCGUGAGACGUGGCAUUGUGCCACUUGCAAUAUUUCAUAUUUUUGAGCUGCUCGGCCGAUGGAAUGGUGUGGUAAGGUGAGAGCUUGAUCUUCCCCUCUUGGAGAAGUAAAUCGAAGAUCUUGUCAGCCUUUGACGUGUCAAAAUCGAACACUUCUGGUUCUUUCUUCCCGAACGGGCAUGAUAUCGGCUUUUUCCCUUUUACCCAUUCUGCUAGGCCGAUUUCCGCUUCCUCUUCAGACUCAGAUCCUUCCAAGUAUGCCACCUUCUUCUGAAAAUUCCUCCGCUGGUCGAAAGGGCGGAUUUCUUGACCGGCCAAUUAGUGGAUGAUUUGACUUAAGUUGUCAAACUCCUGGGAGGCGUACUUCUCUUUGAUGUGUGGCAGGAGACCUUGGAAGGCGAUAUCGGCCAGCUCAGCGUCAGUCAGAACUAGGGUGUAGCAUUUGUUUCUGACCUCUCUGAACCUUUGCACGUAAUUGGUCACUGGUUCGUUGCUCCUCUGCCUGACACUGGUCGAAUUUGAGAGCUUCAUCUCGAGGACUCCCGCAUAGAAGUACUUAUGGAACUGCUUCUCCAAAUCGGCCCAAGUAACGAUGGAAUUGGGCGGUAGCGUAGUGAACCAUUGGAAAGCCGACCCGGACAGGGAUGACAAGAAUAGACGUAUCUGCAGAGCAUCUUGUGUGGCAGCCUCUCCGCACUGGAUGAUGAAUCUAUUUAUGUGUUCCACAGUUGAGGUGUCAUCCAGCCCUGAAAACUUGGUGAAGUCAGGAACUUUGUACCGAUGGGGAAACGGCAGUAGAUCGUAGGCAGGUGGGUAUGGCGUCUUGAACAUAUAGGUUUGUACCUUCGGCUUCAACCCGAAUUGAUCUUGAAUCACCUCCGCUAUCCUUGCUGUCCAAUCCACUUGCUGCUGAUGAACAACUGGUUGAGGGAUCGGCACAUGUUGAUGGAUCGGCGGUGGGAUGGCCGGGUGAUGGAUCAAAGCGUGUGGCGGAUUUUGUGGCAGCGUGGCCGGCUAAACAGUUGACAGUUGGUGGCGUAGCGAAUCUACCGUCCCAUCAUACAGCAUCAUCGGCGCUGCACUUCUGAGUGUUUCCACAGUGUCUCCUCCCCUGCCAAUUUUUGAUGAGGCCGGUUGAUAUUGUGGGACUGUCGGCUGGAUAGCCGAUUGGAAUGGUGCUUGGAUCGGAGAGCUUCCGUAACCGGUUGAUUGGUCCGAACCAGCCGCUGUUGCUGGUGCCCCCACGGUACUGAGUUUGAGGGCAGUGAUUGCAUGGGGGAAACCUGGGUAGGCUGAGGCGGCGCUUGCGACUGGAAGCAUGGCGCGCCGUUGUAUCCUGGAGGCAUUGAAGUGCUAUAUCCUCCAUGUUGCAUUGGUAUCGGCUGAGGAGCGGAGUGAGAUGUGCCUGGUAAGCUUCUGACUGGAGCUACAAUGGGCGGGGCGUACGCUGGCCCCUGAUACCCGUGAGCUACUCCACUGACCAGGGAACUGAUGAUGGCAUUGUAUACCGUGUUGGUCAUUACUGAAGAUUGGUCGAUGAAAGCCUGGUAGACGGACUGCUGAAUCAUAUCGGACAUCUUUCCCGAGUCCUCAGUGAUGGUGAUUUGGCGAGGAGUUAGAAGAGGAGCUUUCUUGAUAGUUUCCUCGCUUCUGGUACGACUGAAAGAUUGCAAGCAUGUCUUCCUGUAUUCUUCUAGGUGUCUUGCCAAUUCUUCUUUCUGGUCAUCCUUGAGAUCUGCUUCCCUAACCUCGAUGACGUUGUCUUCGAAGAUUUUGGCGGCUUUUGACAUGUUGGAUGUUGUGUUCGUCCCACCGGGCGUGCCAAAAGUGUGUUGGCGCUAAAAAUCAGUCGAUGACCUUCAGCGUUGGACACACGACCCGGGAGAAUCUGCUUAGCUCCUGUUCGGGUGAUCGCCCUGGUGCGGUUUGCGUGGCGUGCCAAUCAAUCUGACCUGUUGAUUGACAAGGAAAGAAAUAUAUUAAAUCCCAAAGAUUUCGAUCGGCUAAAGUAUAGAGCCUCUUCUUUGGCUAGCAUGAUGCUUGGGUCAACUUCGACAGCAAAUGGAGGCAUGCCAUCAAACUCAUUGAUUAUCUGACUGGUUUGUUUUGUCCUCGACUCCCACGAUAUUUUUUUACUUGGAAGAACUAUAUGGCGCUUUGGCUCCCAUGGUUUUUCUUUAUCUUAUGAAUUUUUCUAGGGUUUGCUAGACAUGUCCUUCACAUAGAAAACCUGGUGCACAUCAUUGGCAAGGACGAAUGGUUCAUCAUUGUAUCUAGCCUUGGUCAGGUCCACUAUUGUCAUUCCAUACUGAUCUUUCAUUAUGCCACCUCUAGUUAGCUCCACCCAUUGGCAACAAAACAGAGGGAUGUUCAGCGGUCCAUAUUCGAGUUCCCAGAUCUCCUCUAUGAAACCAUAAUACGAGUCCUUGCUCCUGUUGCUGUCUAUGGCAUUUAUGCGGACACCACUAUUUUGGUUGGUACUUUUCUAGUCUUGGGCUCUCGUGUAAAAUGUAUAACCAUUUAUCUCGUAACCUUGGAAUUUCAUGAUUGUGCUAGAAGGUCCCCUAGCUAACCCAGCGAGUUGUUCAAGAAUCACGAACUUAACCAUAAGGUGUUUAUGCAACCAAGAGGGAAAAGUAUCCAUGUGAUGACGUAUAAUCCAGGCAUUGGAUUUCGUCGGGUAUUGGGAAUAGAAUCUGCUUAUGUUCCUCGAUAUACGGAGCCACAAAGGAUGAUUGUUGCAGAACGAUGAAGUGUAUUUUAUGGAACAAAUCACUAUCAUUGCUCAAAUUUGAUUUUCUUCCCAGGGUGCCCGUUCCCCGUAGCCUCCCCUCAUGGCAUGAUGUUGGAACCCCAAUCAAAUUAACUGAGUCAAUAAAAUCAAUACAAAACUCAAUGACCUCCUUUGUUCCAUAUUCUUUGGUGAUCCUCUCUUCUGGAUGGGCACGAUUAAGAACAUAGUUUUUUAGGACUGACAUGAACCUCUCAAAAGGCCACAUAUUGUGCAGGAAUAUUGGACCGAGAAUAGUAAUCUCUUUGACUAGAUGAACUAGGAGGUGCAUCAUAAUAUUGAAGAAGGAUGGUGGAAAUACCAACUCAAAGCUAACAAGACAUUGUACCACAUCAUUCUGUAGCUCUACUAGCUUGGUUGGAUCGAUUGCCUUCUGCAAAAUCGCAAUGAGAAAUGUGCAUAGCUUUACGAGCGUCAAUCGUACAUUCUCUCGUAGACUACCCCUCAGUGCAACCGGAACCAACUAGGUCAUCAACAUGAGACAGUCAUAGGCCUUGAGAUUGUGAACUUCUUUUCUUUCAUAUUUAUUAUUCCCUUUAUAUUCUAGGAGUACCUAGACGGAACCUUAAUACUAUUCAUGCAUCAAACAUGCUAUCCUUCUCUUCCUUGUUGAGAGUGUAACUAGCAGGAUGUAAGUAGUGUUGUCCGUUAUCUCUCUUUUCCGGAUGUAGGUUAUCUUGUUGCUUCAUAUGUUUCAAGUCCUAUCGUGCUUCCAAUGUAUCUUUUGAGUUCCCAUAACAACCCAUGAAGCCUAGCACAUUCACGCAAAGAUUCUUUGUCAAGUGCAUCACGUCUAUUACGUUGCAGACCUCUAUAAUUUCCCAAUAAGGUAGCUCCCAAAAUAUAGACUUUUUCUUCCACAUGGGUGCACGUCCAUUAUCGUCGUUCAGAACAUGUUCGCUACCAAGACCCUUUCCAAAGACUACCCUUACAUCCUUUAUCAUCUCAAAUGCACGCUUUCCAUUAUGGUGUGUAGGUUUUUUACGAUGGUCUAGUGCCCCUUUGAAAUGCAUCCCUUUCUUUCUUAAUGGGUGGUUAGCAGGAAGAAAUCGACGAUAACCCAUAUACACGACCUUCCUACAGUGUUUCAAAUACAUGUUGUCUAUGUCAUCUAGAUAGUGGGUGCAGGCCCGAUAUCCCUUGUUUGUCUAUCCAGAAAAGUUACUCAGCGCAGGCCAAUCAUUGAUGGUUAUGAACAACAAUGCUCGUAGGUCAACGAUCUCUUGUUUAUCCUCAUCCCACACAUGUACACCUUCUUCCUUCCACACCAGUAAAAGUUCAUCAACCAACGGUCUUAGGUACAUGUCAAUGUCGUUGGCGGGUUGUUUUGGACCUUGGAUAAGCACCGGCAUCAUAAUGAACUUCCACUUCAUGCAGAGCCAAGGAGGAAGGUUGAACAUACAUAGGGUCAUAGGUCAAGUACUAUAACCACUACUCAACUCACCAAAUGGAUUGAAUCCAUCAGUACUUGAAUCAAGCCUUAUGCUCCUUGCAUCACUUUCAAAGUACAGGAAUGCUCUAUCAAUUGAUCUCCACUAGGCCCCAUCCGCGGGGUGUCUUAGCAUCUCAUCUUGCUUACGUUCUUGUUUGUGCCAUCGUAUCAGCUUAGCAUUCGCCUUAUUUCUAAACAAACGCUUCAAACGUGGUAUUAUAGGGAAAUACCACAUCACCUUCUUGGAAGGCUGCCCCUCGACAUCACCAGGACCAUUUCUCCUGAUCUUAUACCACAGCUCUCCGCACAGAGGACAAGUAUCCAAUUUCUCGUAUUCAUCACCACGAUAGAGGAUACAGUCAUUAGGGCAUGCGUGUAUCCUCUGAACCUGCAACCCCAGAGGGCAAAUAAUCUAUUUAGCUUCAUAUGUUGUGGACGGUAAUUCAUUAUUCUCAGGAAGAAUGUUCUUUACAAUUUUCAAUAUCCCCUAAAAUGCCUUAUCGAACACACCUUUUUUUGCCUUCCAUUGCAGCAGUUCUAGUGUGGUACCUAGUUUUUUAUGCCCCUACUUGCAAUCUGGGUACAACAAUUUUUUGUGAUCAUUAAGCAUGCGUUGCAACUUUUCUGAUUCCUUCUCAGUUUCGCAAUCUUUGUGUGCAUCCCGUAGCACCUGACCAAGAUAAUCAAUAGGGCCAUCUUCUGCAAACUCAUCUUCAUCAGCCUCGCCCAUUGUAGUAUCUACAAAAGAUUGGCCUGUAGCCUAGUCCGGAAUGUUGUUAUCAUUCUCCUCUUCUUCGUCGUCUUCCAUUAUAACCCUUUAUCGCUGUGCUUGGUCCAAACCAAAUAGUUAGGCAUGAAACCAUAUCUAAACAAGUGGCUGUGAACAAUGCCCUAGGAAGAGUAGUCCUUCUUGUUACUGCAUUGGAAGUAUGGACAACAUAUGAAUCCAUUCUCUAGCUUAUUGGCUUUGGCCACUUCGAAAAAACAAUGCAAGCCAUCAACAAACUCCUUGGUCCGUCCAUCCGCAUUAUAUAUUCAUUGUCGGUCCAUCUGCAUCGUAUUAUGUGAGAAAUGGACAAGGUCUUCGUAUUAGAUAAAGAACUUGAUCAAUAUUAGGUAGGGGGAAAAAGAGUUAAUGUGAUUAUAAUAUUUAGUCUUAGCAAAAAAAAUUAGAUAAAUAAAUUAUUACAUGAGAAAUGGACAUAGGUCUUCGUAUUAGAUAAAGAAACUUGAUCAAUAUUCAUAAUUUACACCAAUCAACCUUCAUAAAGAUAAAAACAAUUCACAUGAAAAUUACACCAAUCAACAUUCAUAACAUUCACUACAACAUAUAAGGAUUACACUCAUAACAAGAUAAUAAAGAUAAAUAUACACUAAAAAGUACACACGCUCCGCACUUUAGUUCACGUAGUCAAUUAUCCUAAAAUAAAGGUAUAACAUAGCAGAAUGUUCGCCCUCCAAGCCAUCUUUACACAUAACUCAAGCUUCUACGAAGUCUAUCGAGAGUCACCUCUAUAUAUCCAGUACCAAAAAAUACUGGUAUAACAUAAGAUAUUCGAAUUCACGUACUCGGGCUGAAUAUCAUAAAGAAAUCUUGAAAUAAUUAUCCAAACAACUUUUGGAGCAAGUGCCACAUUCUCAUAAUAGAAGUAUGGUGGCACACAAUAGCUUGUCCAGGCAUAAGAUCUAUUCACUGAGCAUGGCCCAUUUUGGCAAGCCAAAACCAACCAAAAGUCAAUGGGUUAAGGUCAGUGAACAGAUCUCUGCCUGAACAGGCUAUUGGCCACCAUACUUCUAUUAUGAGAAUUAUACUCCAAAAGUUAUUUGGAAUACUAUUUCAAGAUUCUUUUAUAAUAUUCAGCCCGAGUUUGUGGAUUCGAAGCUCUUCUGUUCUACCAUUAUUUUCUAGUACUGGAGGAGCGGAGGUGACUCUCCAUAGACUUUGUGGAAGAUUGAGUUAGGUACAGAGAAUAGUGUAAGCACCUUCAUGUCAUGUGCAAACACUGUUCUCUAGGAUUGGAGGAACGGAGGUUGUACAUCCAUUGGUCCAUCUGCAUCGUAUUAUGUAAAAAAUGAAUAUAGGGCUUUGUAUUACAUUAAGAACUUGAUCAAUAUUAAGAACUUGAACAUAGGGCUUCGUAUUACAAUGACAUUAAAUAUUGUAGCAAUGACCAAAUUCUAUUUCUUACACCUACAAUUUAUUUAUCUUAAUUUUAUUGUAAUGACUAAAUAUUAAAAACGCAUUUACUCUAUUUUUUCCCAUACCUAAUACCUAAUAUUGAUCAAGUUCUUUUAACUAAUAUGAAUCAUAUAUAACAAGCAAGCUAUCUAUCAAAUUCUAGCUCAAAAAUAUGUAUAAAUAAAAAAAUCCUCUCCAUCCUCCCUCAUUCUAAAAAACUCAUUUUUCUUCCUCUCUAAAGCAUAAUGACAAUAAAUGAAGGGAGGAUGAAGUAGCUAACCUUCACAACACUUUGGAUGAGUGAAAUCCCCACGGAAAUGAGGAAAAAAAUUUGGGCAGCAUCUCCCUUAAGGUUGCUUGCUUACCAUGGAGAGGAGGAUGAAGCUCUCGAUCAGGUGGAGUGGCUCUGGCUGGAGGAGGAAGAAGAGUUUCUUGAUUUAUAGGGAAGGAGAUUUUGUCCCGAUUGGAAAUUCUAACCGGGACAAAAGGGGAAAAGGGGGGUCUUUUGUCCCGGUUGGAAUUUUCAACCGGGACAAGGGGGGGAGGGGGGCGUCAGUACGAUUUUUUAUAACCGUUACAACCGGGACAAAAGGGGGGCUUCAGCCCAGUUGUACCCCCUGCGGUGGCCUUUGGUGGCACAUUUUUGACCAAGUUUGAGGAAGAGCACCGGGAUCUUGUUUCGAUGAAAGCAUCUAGCCAUGUUGCGGACUGAUAGGAAGUUAUCAUGUAUGCUCAGUUUUUGAAUGAAAGUGCUCUGCGUCGGGGAGAUUAUCUGUCUUAUCUGUGGUACCAGUCUUAGAGCUAAAGUUUUGGUGAUGAUUUUGAUGAAAAAGUGAAUGAGGCUAAUUGGUCUGAAAUCCGUGAUGGACUCUGCUCCUUCCUUCUUUGGCAGUAGGACAAUGUUGGCCAUGUUGAUUAGUGGUAAAUUUGCCGUGCACAGAUUGUGCAAAGCAUUUACCACUUCUGUGACAUCCUCUUUGAUAAUUUCCCAACAGUUUUUGAAAAAAGCUUCGGUAAAUCUGGCCAGUCCCGGAGCCUUGCACUACAAGGUUUUUUCACUAGCACCACGGCACGAAAUUUUUGCAAUAGGGGUUGUUUCGUUGCUAUAGCAAGCUAUUGUGAUGAUUUUGUGUCGUUGCCUUAAAAUUCAUGUCAUUGCGUAAACUUGCAUUAUAAUAGGGUAUUACAAUGACACAGGAAGCCAUGGGCAUAAGGGUGAGUUGUUGCAACGAUGUGUGCUGUAGUAAUAAGUGGAUAUUACAACGCCCAUUUUCGUUGCAAUUUUGUUAAUUGCAACGGCAGGCGUCAUUGCUAUAGUGGCUAUUGCAACGACAUUGCGCUGUUGCAAACAAGCAUUAAUGCAACGCAAGAAUGUUGUUGCAAUACAAGACUUAUGCUAUUGCAAUACGCUAACAGGAUAUCUCAACGAAAUACUAGUCGUGGCUAUAUGCGUCAACCAUAUCCCAACGAAAUAUGGCGUUGCAACAUGCUUAAAGGGUAUCGCAAUGAAAUAUGGGUCAUCGUUAUAUGCUCAACGAAUAUCGCAACAACGAGAAAGUGUUGUAAUAUGCUUACAAUGUAUCGCAAAGAGGUACGUGCUGUCGUUAUAUGCUUCAACCAUAUCGCAACGAAAUAUGUCAUGGUUAUAUGGAUAUAGGAUAUUGCAACACAAUACGGGUUGUGGUUAUACACUCAAUGGAUAUUGCAACAACGAGAAAGUGUUGUAAUAUGCUUACAAGGUAUCACAACGAGGUACCUGAUGUUGUUAUAUGCAUCAACCAUAUCGCAACGAAAUAUGUCGUGGUUAUAUGCAUACAGGGUAGUGCAACACAAUACGGGUCGUGGUUAUACGCUCAAUGGAUAUCACAAUGGAAAAUAUAUCAUCAUCAUAUUUUUUAAUACAAUGGAAAAUAUUUUUGUCCAUUCAUCCACAUGAUUCCCAAUAAUAAAGUAUGUAGAACACCUAUAUUAUUCGUAUGCAUCUAUAAUCUUGAUUACUCCCAGCAUUCAUGAUGAUCAACUUUGCUUGAAGUUCUGCUUGUAACCUGUAGGCAACCUUGAGUCUUAUUGCCCCCCCGUAGCUUCACUAGCCUGUUGAAGCGAAGAGAAACAAACAAGUGAAUUAAAACUUGUGAAGCUACUUUGUCUUGGAUUCAAUAUGUAGCAAUAUUGAAAGCACACUUCCAGUUCGUACCUGUUGUACUUUCUUUUUGCCUGCUCGUGUUUUAGCACCAGAUAUAAGCUGUUGUGUACUAAUGAAUCUGGAUCCUGCAACAGCUCCUGCACCUUUACCGCGAUUCUCAUUGAACAGACUCUUUGCGAUGUUGGCAGUUUCAGCAUUUCUGGUUGGUGCCAAAAUGCUUUUUUCGGUUGUGACAAUGAUGAUUGGAGCAUUCUGCAUCAUAAUAAAGUUUAUGGAACAAUGUUAGCUGAAAUUUAAUGCAAAAAACCAUCAUGAUUGGAAUGCUUGUUCGAUGUUGUUACCUGGUUUGAUGUUUCUUGACUAUGCACUACUUGUGUUGCAGCAAGGUUUUACUCAGUGCUCCCAGCUUCAUCAUCAGGUGUUUUAUUGUUGGUUUGAGGGGUAUGCUGCACAAUUUAAAAGCGAGCAGGCAAGAGAUUAGCGACAUAUGUAUCUAUAUUUUCAAUCACAACCAAUUAUUGUCGAUACCUGGUUCCUUGUUUCUUGGCUGUCCAAUACUGGCCUUGCAUCAAUGUUAUCCUCGGUGGUCCUAGCAUCAACUUCAGUUGUAUUAUUGUUGUUUGCCGGGGUACGCUGCGGAUUUUAAAAGAGGGGAGGCUAGAUAUUAGCGACAUUAUGCAAAUUUAGAACACAACAGAAAUAAACAUGCACAAAUUAUAUUCUAGUUACCUCUCGCAGUAAAGCCUGACGAUAAGGCACGAUCAUUUUAGCAACUUCCCCCAUCAAUUCUUGUCUAAGUGCGGCUUUAAGGUUUUCUAUCUCUGCUUCCUUUUUAGCUUCAUGCUUCUGCAUUUUUUCCUGUAAUUGACGUUCUUGUUCUUUGAGCCUCUCUAUUCUCUCCUAAAUCAUUCUCUCCUAAAGGGCUUCCUGCUUUCGUUUUGGAUUCGACAAGUAACCAUGGCCACGUGACCUACUGUAUUUGGCUUUUGUUGUUUCCCUGUACAUUUCCUGGAAAACUUGGUCUUCCUUAGCAGGUCUAGAAGUGUGACUUGUUGGUUCUUCUUCAUCUGAUUGUGUUUGAGAUAAUUUUCUGGAUGUACAAGUCUGAUAGCAAGAAACAAUUAAUUGUAACAUUAAUUUGAUCAUGUUUUCAUACCAAAAAAUGCUUGUAAUGCUGAAUCAAUGUUAUGAUCAAAUUAGCACUCAGUUUUCACAUAAAUACUUUCAGCCAGGUGAUUUGUCCAUCUUCCUUCCCUAGUGUGAGUAGUCUUCCAAAGUUCCAAAAGGGGUGGCUCAUCGCCAGUUACUGGAUCUCUUUAUGAUUGCAACAUUAAACGCUAUUAAUAUAUCAUUGUGUAAUGUACUGAAAGUUGAGAAUACCUUUUCCCAGCUCCACUACGAGAAAGGUUUGGAACCCCCGAGUGAUUUGUUCUCAGUUGGCUGCGGUUCGAAGAGUUCAUGCUGCUCCUACUCUGCACAGUCAUCCCGUAAAGUAAUGGUUAGCGAUGAAAAGUUGAACUCAUGAUUGUGUUCUUUUACUUACAAAAGAGGGCGUACCUUGAAGUCCUUAGUUCCAAAGUACAUGUUCAAAUAGUGCCACUCCAUAAUGUCUAUGUUGUCAGGCUUAUGUUUCAUUCUCUCACCAUAACUGUCGUAUGCAUUGUCUGUAGAAUGCAAAAUGGAUCACCAACUUUUGUAGCGUUCAUUGGCAACCUUCCAUAUCUUUUUGUUCGGACUCUCAGUGGUCUAAAGGUCCCAAUGAUCCUAGUAGGAAAGGAAACUUGUUAUGUAUGCUACAUUCAAAAUAUAUGUUUCCAAGAAAAUAGAGGGAAUAAGACUAAUAUAUAACAUUAUAAUGCAGCAUGAUGUGGCCAUUGACAUACCAUUACAGAUAUUGCGAUAUCAUCCUUGACAUGCUGACACACAUCUUUCCAAUUUCUAACUCCAAUUAAUGGAGCCUUCUGCUUUGUAAACAGAACAACCUCAUCCACAAAGGUACGUCUAUUAUCUCCACAGGGACCACCCACAUUUUCAGAAAAUUUGAUUUUCAGUUUCUGUGAGCCAAUCUUCGAUCUCUUGGCCACCGCAGCUAACCCUUUCAAGGAUCCUCAACCUAUUUUCUUGCCACCUACUUACAAUAAAAAAAUAGAAACUUACAUUAAGUCGUGCACAAUAAGAGCAUUAAAAACUGUAGAAGAUGUGAAGCUUUUAGAACCUGUUGUCUGCUUUGGGUUUCUAGCAUGUGUUGGCCAUUGUGAUGGCAGCGUGGCGCUACUACCAUUGCUCUCAUCACGUACUUCUGUAGGCUUUGCUUGACCUCUAUUAUAAGCCACUGAACAAAUAAAAAACAAGUGCACUUAGAGGAUUGUACAAUUUUCAUCAAAAAUAAGAAUUAGUUCACAGGAAAAAGGAUUUACAAAUAUAUCAUAAGGCCUUUUUGCCUUAACCAUUUAGAGCAUGUUUUUACUAUUUCUUCCCUGUAGUCAUCAUAUAGAUCUGCAAGUUACCAACUAUGUGAGUACAUUGUACAGUUAUAGACACAAGUGCAUAGUGUAGUACAAAUAGCAUACAUACCACAAUCUGGGCCUUUUUCUUGAAGCCAAUCUUUGUAUUCAUCAAAUGAUUCAUCAUUACUAGUAUCAGCAUCAGUAACAUCAUCAGACUCAUUCACCCUUGGUCGUUUCAGGGGUGUAAUGUUGACAGCUCCAACCAAUUCUUAUUUUGAUAGUAUCAACCUUAGUUUCCUUUCUUCAGAUGAAUCCACGUACUGAAACAUGCGCUCUACAUCUUUAGGGUAACCAAUUGACUGAACAGAUGCAUCAACAUUUCCUAUUCUCUUCUUGUAGUAGUAGUAGUCCAGCGCACCAUAUCCAAGUUGAUCUUUGUAAUGCCACAAGCUGACAAAGUCUAAUUGUGCCCUGGCAAUAUUAGCCUGAACCAGACGCUCAUCUUGUCCUUCUGCCCCUAGGCACUGUACCAUUACCUACCACAUCUGACCUGUCAACUCAUCUGAUCUGUAUGUGCACAUAGAUAUCAAAACCCCCGCAUCAAUAAAUGAAGAUGUAGUACUACUAGUGCUAUGCGAAAAACUAAUUAGUAGUAAUCAAAUCUGUGAUUUAUAAAAGCAUGCGCCAAUGUGGCAGCAUCAAAUCGAUUGUAAGCAAUUAAUGUGCAGAAAUUUUCUACCCUAACCCUAGAAGGCGUUAAAGGUGGAUGCGAACCUGUAACGUUCAUCUUCAAUAUCAGCUUCCUUGACUCUGACCGUACUUGGUCGUGUGCUGGGUUCUCUAUCGCCAGCCAUGGAAGGAGUCGCCAUGGAUGGAGUCUUUGGGCAGAGAGGAACCGUCGCCCCCCUGAUGCAGCUAGCGCAGUUUUGGGGGCAAGUGGGGCGGAGGCUGAGAUAUAUUUGAGGGUUUAGGAAAAAAGAAUGGAGGAAACAUUGCACUAGUACUAAAAAUUUGAGGCACAACCUGGCGGGAUGCAGUGGGUCCCACAAUUGAAAUGCAAGGACAAAUCAAUGUACCCAAGUGUGGGUUCUUUUUAUAGGUGCAUCAUAACACCUAUAUGCAGGGAGGUGUAAGGUGUGCUUAGACACAAAAGCACAUUGCGAAAAUACAACUCCAUUGGAUAGACAAACCUUGUAGUGACUACAAGUUGAGCCAAAUUAACCACAAACAUAGUUCCACUACUACAAGUUGAGCCAACCAGUCAUGGACAUCAUCAGGCAAAAGCAAAAGAAACGCUACAAUUAGUUAUCGAUCCCCAUUCUCUUUUCAAACGCCACAAUUUCAUGGCGUAUCCUAUAGUCCUCGUUGCAAAAAAGUGUAGCUUGUUCCCAACCCUUAACCUUGCCGCAAUCACCACUAGCGCAAGGGAAGUUGCUGCGAACUGGUGCUAAUGGAAGCGGAUCACCAUGCCCGCACCAUGUAACUUUGUUGACUAACUAGGCGGCCUCCUCGCGACACACCCGGCAGCCAUUGUUGCGUAGCUUCUUUUGGCCUGCGCUCCCGCUCGCCGCUGAACCAUCCUCACAUUUGAUGCGACGGAUGUGCAUCUUCACACUGUUGUCAUCCGUGGCACCGCCAUUGUUCCUGUACAUCAUCAGGGCGUACAGAUAGGCCCUCACAUCGUGCCCACCGACCGCGACGCAGGAGAGCUCAUGGAGGGAUGGCUAGGGGGCAGCGAAGAAAUCUACAAUCCCUUUGAUGGUGCAAGCCUCCAGGUUCCCCACACCAACCAGUAGAGGGAGGAGGGCAUAGUACCUGUCCGUCUCGUUCCACUGCAUAUCCUCCCAGUACAUCCUGAGCAAUGCCAUGCACUGUCCAACGGAUAGGUCACCGCACGCACUGUGCAUGACCCUGCAGACCGCUCGUAGGUUGUGGAGGUCAUCCAUGGGCUGGAAGCAGGUCGCAACAACGUGGCCAGCGAUGUCAAUAAGCACCUCCAUAGGGAGGUCUGUGAGCAAUCGGCAUUGCCUUCUCGACGCCAUGAACGUGGAGAGGUGGAGGGUCACGAAAUCUAAGGGGAACGGUGGAAUGGGGUGCCGGUGGGCUACAGGCCGAGUUCUUGGAAACCUCUUUUUGCGAUAUGGCGAGGAGACUGCGGAGAGGGGUCUGGGUACAGGAGGAGUUAUAGAUAUUCCCUGGGUACAAGAGGAGUUAUAGAUAUUCCCUGCUGCCGGUGCAUUGGGAACUGCUAAAGAACAAGCGUGCAAUGGGAACUGCCGAAGAACAAGCAGAGGAUACAGGGAGAUCAGCCGGCCGGUGCAUUGGGAACUUUCGAAGAACAAGCGUGCAUUGGAACUGCCGAAGAACAAGCGGAGGAGACGGGGAGAUCAGGCGGCGCCGACUUUUCUCGGGUAUGGUAGGCGACCGCUGGAAUAGGCCCUGCAAUAACUUCCCACAUUGUUGGUGUUUUAGACCGGCAACCCACCUAGGGGGUACCCUAGGUGGUCUUUUGUGCGGUAAGGGUCGCCGAGAAUCAAGGAAUCAAUGGUGACGCAAGGAACACGAUUUAGACAGGUUCGGGCCGCUAGAUCGCGUAAUGCCCUAUGUCCUGUGUGUUUGUAUUGAUCUUGGAUGAACUGGAGUUGUUCUGUUUGAGGGGGGUCCCUGCUCGCCCUUAUAUAAACGGGAGGGCAGGGUUACAAGUCUGAGUCCUAGUCGAGUACUACUACUACAGAGUUCUACUCGGUAUGGUCCGAGUAGUUUUCCAUACACAUACUUGACUAGUCUGAGCAGGAUACGCCUAUCCCUUGUCCUGAUCAUAUCCGAGUACAUCCCUUUGUGGGCCAUCCAGGGUCUACUCGUGGGCCUGGGAUGCACGCCCGACAAGCCCCCGAGUACUUUGUAGUCGCGCGCCUCAGUCUUGAGUACUCUGGGCACUAUCCGAGCAGUUUGUCGUAGAGGUUGCAGUGUCCGAAGUGCUCGAGUACUGUCGCGUGGCUGGAAGGUACUCUUCUUGUUCCUUUAAGUUGCUUCUGUUCCGAGAGUUUUUAUAUGGUAGUGCGAUGUCAAUCGCACUCCAUAUGGAGUAGCCCCCGAGCCUUAGGUUGAGUCGAAGAGUCAGGCUUAGGGUCAAUCCUGCUUUUUGACUGUUUUACCCUCGGAAAUCUGAAAAAGAAAAUUCUGACCAUCGGGUACGGUACCCGUAGCCCCUGAGCACUUGGGCGAUUUUUGUCAUUGAAGUGGUCAACAACCCAUUGAAAAGAGUAGUCGUUGGGUGUUUAAGGCAAUUAAUAUGCUUAAAAUCCAUCCGUUGCGUAACUGACGCUUAGAGUCCGGAGGUGGCGGAGAUAUAACUGGGGGGCCCCCUUUCGGUUAGGUUUACUCCCCUAUGUAGCAGAUUUGUUUCUCUUCUUCCCCCACUUUUCCAUUCCUGUUUUCCUUCGCCAUCGCGAUUGCCAAGUGCCACCGCAGCCAUUGCGGUUCUUUGAGAGAGAUCCGAGGGUGAGUGCAUUUUGCUGAGGUUGAAAUCGGCGGAUGCGCACCAAGAAGAUGGGCAAGAAACCCGAGAAGAUCCAAGGCAAGGCUCCAGCGGCGGGCAAGGUGAAGUCCAAGAAGGGGAAGGAACUGGUGCUGUCGGCGCCCAAGAUGGGGCGGACAAACCAGACUGCGCCGCCACCGCCUGGAGCGAUGUGGCAGCAUUCGGUGAUGAAGGAGGAGGCCGUGCAGGCGCUUGUCGACGCCAAGCUUCUGCAGAUGAAGGAGGUACUCGAAUGGCGCCCUGCUUUUGCAAAUGCGUGGCAAUUUGAGGAACACCCCAACGAGAUGGUGAUGGUCGCACACUUUGUGGAGAGGGGGUUGGCAGUGCCCACCUCCGACUUCUUCAGAGGUAUCCUCGAGUACUAUAAGCUUCAACUUGUUCACUUGAACCCCAAUGGUGUACUGCAUAUGUCAAUUUUCGUACACCUCUACGAAGUUUACUUGGGGGUUCCUCCAAGCCUUGAGCUGUUUAGGAAGUUGUUUCGCUGUAAACCUCAGCCUAGUGCACUUAGGACGGAGGUCUUUGGAGGCGCAGGUUCCAACUCAGGAACUCGGGCGCAUACAUUGAGUACAAUUUGACUGACUCCCAUGGGGAGUGGAAGAAAAGGUGGUUCUAUAUUGGGAACCAUGAUCCUCGCUUGCCGGUGGUUACUGGUCACGCGCCAAAGCAUGCAGAGAACUGGGUGAGCGAACCUAAAGAUACCCCGGAGCUUGACUAUUUGUUGUAGCAGAUUACUGAGUUGAAAGCACUUGGUCUCACCGGGAUUAACGUGGCGGCCAGUUUUCUGAAGAGAAGGGUUCAGCCGCUUUAGAAACGGGCUCACUCGGGGAGUGAGUACAUAGGUUUUAAGGAUCCAUCACGUAUGUCCGAUGAGGAUAUAUUUGACAAUGAUGUGGAGGCGUUGCUGGCCAAGUUCUUCAGGAACUACCAGGGAGUACCAGUGAUCCCUGCAGCUCUUCGGCAGUAUGAUGCCUGGUAUGAGCCAGAAGUGGUAUGUCCUUGUACUUGACUUGUACUUUUUGACUUUUGUGAUAUUUUUUUUAAAUAUCGACUUGUUUUUUGUAGUCCCGAGUUCUUGCUAGCUACUUGGCGCAGUCGGAAGAAGAAGAAACUGUUAUUGAGGAGUCAGAGGACGAGCCCUCUCCUCCUGUAAAGAAACGCAGAGUAGUCCGCAAAAUGUCUGUUGCUAAGUCUGCUUCAACUCCUGAGACAUCUCAUGGUGCCAAGGUAUGAAACCGUAUACUCGUAGCUGAUAUAUUUGAUCUUCUAAUCUUGUGAUUACUUUGUCUUGUGCAAAAGGUUGUCGAUGCGGCACUUGGUGAUGAUGAGGCUGCUUCUGGAGAAGUAGUCAUGACCGACCCGGGCGUCGGUAUUGCGUCUGUUGAGAAGGUGCCAGAGGAGGUGCCGUCAGCGGAUGCUGAAGUAGCCCCCAAGCUGACCGCACAGGCUCCGUCAGCUGCCACGCUGCCGGUUGCUGAUCAAGCAGUCUUGGGGUUGCCCGCCGGAGUAGCGGGUGUUGCAAAGGAAGUGUCACCAGUAGUUGCUACUGGUUCUUUGUUGUCCAACGUGAUUGCUAUUGGUAAGCUUUCUUUCCUGACUAGUUUCGCUAGUCUGAGUUGUAUUGUGGUCUUGACUUUGUGUUGCUCAGGCCUUGGCGAGAAGACAGCACCGGCAGCUGUUCCUGCGGCGCCGAGUACUCAGCUAACUGUUGCCGAGAAGAAACAUGUGCGAUUGCCGCCAUGCUCAACUCGGUGAGUUUGUUUGUCCUUGGUAUGUAUCGUCAAGUCGUCUUGAAGUCGUAUAAUGACUGUGCUUUGAUGUAGAGAUGCGGAGGAAACUAUCCCUGUGGAGACAGGAAUAGAGUCGUAUCCCCUGACUACUUUUUCUGCUCCCUUGGAGGAUUUGAUUGUCGAGGAAGUACUCGAAGUUGACACUGGUCGUCUUGGAGCUACUAUGUCUAUGCUUCAAGAGGUCAUCCGCUCAAUGGAGGUCCCCUCCGCUGCUUCGGGUUCUGGGAAUGCUUCUUUGUCGACAUCUACGGGCGGAGCUCUGGCUGUAGUGGGUGUGGAAAAAUCCAAAGAAUCAACUGCUCCAGGUAUGUAUUCGUAGUCCUAGUUUUGUAGUCGUGGCAUUCAGGUGACUGAUGAUAACUUUUUAGGUACUGCUUUAGGUGCAUCUCCUCAUCUUGCGUAGAGUACGCAAAGUCCAGUACUCAGCCUUCCGUCGGAGUAAGAUUUCCAGAGAGCGGUCGAUGUGUUUCGAAGCUUCCAGGUGUGUUGUCUUUGCUUUGUUGAACAGAUUGAGUAAUUUUAAGGUCUUUGACUGAUCGCAUUGUUUUGCACAUUCGGGCCCUGCAGGUACGAAGCCAUCAAUUGGAGCAGGAGUGUGCUCGACUUACAGAAUCCUUGAGGGUUCAUGAAGCUGGAGCAAUCCUUUGCUAUGGAGCGGUCGGAUCACGAAGUCUUGCAGCAGAAACUGGAGAGCCGCUAUAAGUCUUUGAAUAAAAAGUAUCAAGGUGAGUACUUUGCAUCUUUCGAGUAUGUCUGACUAUAGUCGGUUGUUGUUUGAACUUGGCCGUGUUUGCAGAGCUCAAGAGGCAAGAGGUUGCUGCGAGUAGCCAACUCCUUGACUGGAGAAACGUGCACGACCGAGUGGUGGAUGAAGUUGAACGUCUUCGGGCCUCGCUGACAGAAGCACAGGCUGCUUGCGACCAUCAGCGCGAUAGGAAGAUUCAGAAUGGGGUGAUGCUUGCUAUGGCCAUCGUGGCAUGUAGAGAUCAUGUCCAGACUAUAGGAAGACUUCGGGGCGAACUCCAAGAGUUGUCUGUGGCAGCUCAAGAUCUGGUGAACGCCAUUGCCCUCGUGGAAGAGGAUGCAGGACCUCAAUCACUAGUCGAGCGAUUGAAGGCUGCCCCGGGUAAGGUGGCGGGUCUCUGUAAGGCUAUUUGCAAACAAGUCCUUGCUGUGGUAAAGUCAUACUACCCGAGGGCAGAUUUCUCGGCGGCUAGUGACGGCGUGGCUCGCAACUGCACAGAAGAAGCAUAUGCGCAGUACCUCAAGGAGGCGGAGCCAAUCGCGUCAAAAAUGUUUGAAUUUGUAUCUCUAGAGGAGCCUUGAACUUCUAUGUACUCUUGUAGUUUUUCGAGUACCUUGAUACUUGGAGAAAUGAAAUGCUGGUUCUCUUUUGUUGCUUGAAGUAGUUGUCUUGACGUGGGCGAAGAGUAGUUUAUUCUGCCUCGCCCGACCCAAGGUCCCUGGGUCGGAUGUGCCCGACCCUUCGAGGAUGGAGCUCCGCCUCGCCCGACCCAUGGUCCCAGGGUCGGAUUUUCCCGACCCUUCGAGGAUGGAGCUCCGCCUUGCCCGACCCUUGGUCCCAGGGUCGGAUGUGCCCGACCCCUUGUCGCAAGGCUUCACAUCGCCCGACCCUUGAGUAGAGGGUCGGCCUUCUUCAAGCCCCCGAGACAAUGGUGUGUUUUGAGCUUAGGUCAUGCUUGGCUGGAGUAGUUCUGACUGUCGAGUAGUCGUGAUGGUGUCGAGUACUCUGCUUUUUGGGGAUGCACGGGUGUACUGUACUCUUUUGUCCUUUGUAGCGUGAAUGCUUUCACGUGGGCAGAGUCAGAGGUCGUCAGACUUAUUGAUCACGGGCGCAUAAUAACUCCUGGGUGGGUGGUAGUUGUAGCACUUGGCUAUAAAUAGAUCCCUCUGGAGGUCGACCUGAAUCAAGUUUUUGAGUAGCAAUGGAUUGCCUUCGGUUGCUGUUGUUUGAGUGUAGAGAGCCUUCAAAGAGUGCACUGGUGCUAGAAGAUUCCUCGUAGAUUGAGGCCACCUUCCCUCCACAGACUCUAGCGCUCGUAGGGAUAGCCGUGAUGCUAGAAGAAUCCUCGUAGGAGGUUUCAUCGCGCGCCUCAUCUUGCAGCUUGUGAUCCAGUGGAGUACGCGCUGGAACUCGCGAGUGAUAGGUGACGAGUGCCGCGGUCUUUAUCCCGCUCUCUUGGAGGUGGAGGUGUGGCUGUAGAGAGGGUUGGCUCGGCAAGGCUAGCAAAAGAGCAGUCUUGGUUCCCUCUUGGCGUGGCUCGUGGGAUUCGUCGUUGCCGCUGUCAAGGCAACGGUGGUGCAAGAGUUCCUAGCGUUGCCUUGGGUAGAGGACCUGGAUGUGGCUGCGUUUUGCGCUACUUCCUUGCGUGUAGGCCCUCCCCAUUGUAGUCAGCAGACCUGAGUGGCCUUGUGAUAUUGUAAAAGCCUGAGGCUUAAAUGCAGCCCGCCAGUAGGCAGUUGCUUGUAGCCCUUUUGUAUUUUGAGUACUUUUACUCGUAUGUAACUUGUUGAUGUAUCUUCGGUUCUGAAUAAAGAAUUACUCCACCGUUGAAACUUUGUACCAGGGCAGUAAUACUUGUUGAGUUGAUAGUCUUGAGUCAAGAGUAGUAUAUCUUGUAGUUGGUAGUCGAGCUGUUGGCUCGAGUAGUUGACACGAGUUUUUUGCUUUGAUGCAAUUACUCGGGUGCUGCUACGGGUAGUAGCGACAAAGGUGUUCUAUAUCCCAAGAGUUUAGUACUUGUUCUCCUGAGAGCUCUGCAGCUUGUAAGAUCCGGGUCCCGUAACCUUUGACACGAUGUAAGGAUCCUCCCAUGGUGAAUUGAGUUUAUGCAACCCUGUCGUGUCUUGGAUUCGCUUGAGGACCAUAUCGCCCAAUUUGAAAGAUCGUUCCUUGACGUUGCGGUCGUGGUAACGCCUUAACCCAUCAAGGUAUCUGGCAGAUUGCACAAGCGCUGCGCAUCUUGCUUCUUCUAGACUGUCUAGAUCUGUUCGUCUUGUUUCUUCUGCCAGUUCUUCAUCGUAUUGUUCGACCGAGGGUGAUUGCCACAUGAUGUCGGCGGGUAAUAUGGCUUCUGAGCCAUAUACGAGGAAAUAGGGUGAGAGCCCAGUAGUUUUGCAUGGUUGGGUUCGUAGUCCCCAUAGAGCAUUGGGUAACUCCUUGAGCCAUUUGCCGCCCUUGGUGUUGCCGACGUCGUGUAGUCUUUUUCUUGAGAGCGUCGAGUAUCAUGCCAUUGGCACGCUCAACUUGUUCGUUGGCUCGCGGGUGAGCGACCGAGACAUAGCGAAUGUCGAUUCCGCUAUUCUCGCAGUAUUCCCAGAAGUCGUGAUUGUUGAAGUUUGACCCUAGGUCUGUGAUGAUCCUGUUGGGAAAACCAUAAAGGUGUACGAUUUCAUCCAAGAAGUCGAGGACUCGGUCUGCCUUGGGGCAAGUGACUGGUUUGACGUCGAUCCACUUGGUGAAUUUUUCGAUUGCCAUGAGUACUCGGUUGAAUCCUCCUGGCGCAGUUGGUAAUGGCCCUAUCAUGUCGAGCCUCCAGCAGGCAAACAACCAUGUUGGAGGUAUUAUGACUAGCUUGUAGGCUGGUACAUGCUGCUGUUUGGUAAAAAAUUGACAACCUUUGCACUUCCGAACUAGUUGUUUAACGUCGGCCAGAGCCAUAGGCUAGUAGAAGCCUGCUCUGAAAGCCUUGCCAACUAUUGUUCGCGAAGAUGCAUGGUUGCCACAGAUUCCUUGGGCCGUCUUCCCGGGUAACACACUUCACGAGUACCCCGGAUGAUGCACUUUUUCUGUAGAGCUUGUCUCCGACUAGAACGUAAUUUUUUACUCGCCGGGAGAUUUGUUCAGCCUGAUUUUUGUCAGAUGGUAGCUUGUGAUUUUUGAUGUAGUUGAUGAAGGGUGUCUUUCAGUCAACUUCUAUCAUCAUGAUUUCUCGAGUGGCGUCAGUAGUUAGGACCACUGGUGGUGUAACUUGUUCCGGUAUGGACGGCUUGUGCAGUUCGUGUACGAAAAUUCCUGCUGGAACCUCUACACGAGUUGAGCACAUUUUUGAUAAGACGUCGGCGGGUACGUUGUUGUCGCGGACGAUGUGAUGAAAUUCCAAGCCUGAGAACUUGUUUUCCAGUUUGCGGACUUCUUUGCAGUAAGCAUUCAUAUUAUCCUUGUUUCGGUCCCACUCAUCAUUGACUUGGUUUAUAACGACUAGUGAGUCGCCAUACACCAGUAGCCUUUUGAUGCCGAGGGAGAUUGCGAGGCAAAGACCGUGUAGUAGUGCUUCGUACUCGGCUUCAUUGUUGGAUGCCUCCCAGAAAAUUUGCAGUACGUAUUUGAGCUGAUCUCCCUUUGGGGAGAUGAGUAGUACGCCUGCACCGUCCCCUUCAAAUUUGAGGGAUCCGUCGAAGUACAUCACCCAGUGUUCUGGCUGCUCGACUGGUGUUGGUACUUGAUUUUCAGUCCAUUCAGCCACGAAGUCGACCAAAGCUUAGGACUUGAUAGCUGUCCUUGGCUUGAAGUCCAAGGUUAGAGCUCCGAGUUCAACUGCCCAUUUGGAGAUUCUGCCCGUGACAUCUCUAUUGUGGAGAAUUUCGCCGAGCGGGAAGUCAGAGUGACUGUGAUGUUGUGCUCUUGGAAAUAAUGGCGCGGUUUCCGGGAAGUGAGUAAGAUUGCGUACAAAAGCUUUUGUAUCGGUGAAUACCGAGUUUUGGAGUCCAAGAGUACUUCGCUGACGAAGUAUACAGGUCGUUGGACCUUGUAAGCGUGGCCUGGUUCAGACCAUUCGACUACUAUUGCCGUGCUGACGACAUGAGUAGUAGCCGAUAUGUAUAGGAGCAAGUCCUCGUUUGGGGAUGGAGCAGUGAGUACAGGAGGCUUUGACAGAAAGUCUUUGAGUUGCGUUAGUGCUUUGUCUGCCUCUUCUAUCCAUUUGAACUUGUCCUGGCAUUUGAGAAACUUAAAGAAGGGUAGUCCCCAUUCUCCAAGUCUCGAGAUGAACCGAUUGAGAGUGGCCAUGCAGCCUGUGAGUUUCUGCACAUCCUUGAUGCUAGCUGGUGCUUGCAUGUUUGUGAUGGCAGAUAUUUUUUCCAGGUUGGCCUCAAUACCGCGAUGGCUAAUGAUGAACCCAAGUAACUUGCCAGAAGGUACUCCGAAGAUGCACUUAGUAGGAUUGAGUUUCCAUCGGAAAGCUCUUAGACUAGAGAAAGUUUCUUCCAGAUCAGCAAUGAGUUCCUCCUGGUUUUCUUGUUUUGACGACUACAUCGUCGACAUAAGCUUCGACAUUGCGGUGAAGUUGUUUUUCGAAGCACAUCUGUAUAGCUCGUUGAUAAGUUGCUCUCGCAUUCUUUAGUCCAAAGGAUAUUAUUUUGUAGCAGAAAGCUCCGAAAGGUGUGAUGAAAGCUGUUUUGGCUUGAUCUUCUUCCUUGAGGCUUAUCUGAUGAUAGCCGGAGUAGCAGUCGAGAAAGCAUAGUAAAGCGCACUUAGCGGUGGAGUCGACCACUUGGUCGAUCCUGGGUAGUCCAAAAGGGUCUUUUGGAUAGUGCUUGUUGAGGUUGGUGUAGUCGACGCACAUUCUCCACUCGUUGUUUUUCUUACGAACAAGUACAGGAUUUGAUAACCAGUCAGGGUGAAAAACUUCUUUGAUGAACCCUGCCGCAAGUAGCUUGGCUAGCUCUUUUUUGAUUGCUUCUCGUCUAUCUUGAGUGAAUCUACGGAGUCGCUGCCAUUUUGGAGUAGCUUUGGGAUCAACAUUUAGAGAGUGCUCGAUCAGUUCCUUGGACACACCUGGCAUGUCAGCUGGUUUCCAAGCUAAGAUAUCGUGGUUAGCUCGAAGGAAACUGACGAGCGCGGAUUCCUAUUUAGGAUCUAGCCCUAUUCCGAUCAGGGCUGUCUUGGAGGAGUCGCCCGUCUGGAGAUCGACUGGUUUGAAGUCUUGCUCGCUUGCGGGUUUCACCUUUGUAUACCCCGUCUUGUUUUCUAGGAUCUCGAGUUCACUUGGAUGGAGCUUCUUUGAAGCUAUGAAGACUUGUUGCAUGGGGCUAGGUGCUUGAGCAGUCGAAGCGAUUUCCACUGCUUCGGUGUCGCAUUCGUAGGACCGCUGUAGAUCCCCUCGUAGCGUUAGUUCUCCCUUGGGGCCUGGCAUUUUGAGUACCAAGUAAACAUAGUGUGGUAUGGCCAUGAACUUGGCGAGUGCUGGCCUUCCGAGUAUGGGGUGGUAAGAUGUCUCGAAGUCGGCAACUUCAAAUCUGAUGUACUCGGUAGGGUAGUGUUCCUUAGUGUUGGAGGUAUGCCCUAGAGGCAAUCAUAGAGAUGAUGAUAUUCCAUUUGUAUCCAUGAUUUGUAUGUUGUGUUCAUUGAAUAUCCAUUGAAGGCUACUUGAAUUGAUUUGCAAUUAUGUGAAUUGUAUGUGAAACUCUUUACUUGUAUGGUUAUUCUAAAGUUGUCCCUAGUCAGAGUUCAUGUGAGGACACACAUGAAUAUUAGACUAGCACAUGUAUUAGUUGAUGACUAUGUUUCACAAGUCAUGGACAUGGAGAUGUUGAACUAAUAAUGUGGACACAUGUGGAGACAUGUGCUAGGACUGACCCAACACAAGAAGUAGUUCUCUCUUUAAACAACAUAUACGCUUUGUCCUUAGACCUGAGAUUGUCGCAUGUAUUCUAGAUGUGGAUCGACCUACUUAGGGGCUAUCAAACACUAUGCCGUAACAGGGUAGUUAUAAAGGUAGCUUUCGGGUUUGUCAAGAAGCAUGCUAUGAGACAUGGUCAAUCAAGAUGGGAUUUGCCCCUCUCUGAUUGAGAGUGAUAUCUCUGGGCCCCUCGAGUGAUCGGAUCCGAAAAUGCAUGGCCAUGCUACGUACGGUUAAGAGUUAACCUACAAAGGGAUUCCGAAUCACAGGAUCGAGAAAGAGCGGUCGGCUUUAUGCUAGACCAAAUAUCGUGAGGCAAAGGGAAUAGCAUGUAUAUUAUGUUGUGAUGGUUCGUCUGAUAUGAUCUUCGUGUGCGUAUAGGAGUUGGCACGUCUUGCUAGAGGCCGCUACCGACUAUUGGGCCGAGUAGGAGUACUCGGGCCAUGUCUAUACGUAUCCGAACCCAUAGGGUCACACACUUAAGGGGCUGGAAGCCCAAUUCGGAUCAGAUCCGAGUUGGAUUAGGUUUAGAAGUACUAAUGGGCCUCGGAUCGAGAGGCCCGUUAGGAACCUCUAUAAAUAGAGGGGUGGGGGCGCCCUAGGGUUUACACCUUUUGGCGAAACACACCUGCCGCGCCUCCCACGCCCUCGCCUGUUGCAACUCGCGGAUCUAGCAUUCCUACUUGCGACGCUUCCUCCCUGCACGUGUGGAUACCUUGGAGGUGUUGCGCCUGCAGCACUUGGACGAGCCAUCGACGAGCCGCCGACGAGCCACGAUGAGCUGACGACGAGCCGCGGCACCAGAGGCGAUCUUGCUGCACGUGGACGAGCUGUUGAGGAGCUGCUGGACGUGAUUGACUACGUACGACUACGUGAUCGUCUUCACUGCAUCGACGCAUAUCUACAUCUUCCGCACCAGUAGUGCGUCGAGUGGUAAUCCUGUGAUCCUUAUACGGCAGUUUUUCCUGGUUAUACGCGGUAGAAAAUUUUGAUUUGCGCUAGUGUAGCCUACCUCGUAUCCCAACAGUGGUAUCAAGAGCCGUAGCUGCUUAGUUUUGGAUUCGGGAUGUGUGCAUAUGGAGAUAUGCGAGUUCUCUGUUUGAUCUAUGUCCUGAUUUCGUGCCCUUGCUGCAAUGGUAGUGUAACGACAUACUCCUACCGGUCGGUUUCCGCCAUCGGAGUUAAGUGAUACACGUAAAUCCAGUUGCAGUGAGGGAAGAUCAAUAUGAUUGGUCAAAUCGAAAUCCAGGGUCAUACGCCAGGCGCAUUAGAUGUGCAAUAGUAGAUGGGAUCUACUGCCGGGGUCGGGAUUUUGCCGUAUGCUUAUGCUUCGGUAAAUCAGCCGUAACUUUUCGGUACGAUCUCGGAUCGGGGCGAUUUUUAUACGAAAAUUGAUCUACAGAAAAAGUUACACAUGAAUUUCAAUGGUUUCGCCGUUUUCAGCGAAAUUAGAUUUCCCAAAUUCGGCUUGGAAGAUGGAGUUUCGGGCCUCCGAAGUUUGGAACGUUAGGACGCCUAACUCUCUUUUGCAGGAUGUAUGUAUGUAUCUUGUGAUCAGUAUGGCCCCCUUGUGUAUGUGAUGCAUGUGUGUAACUCAUUCGUGACCUGCGUGUCGCGCGUACGGCAACACGGCAGGAGCCAUAUGUGUUGUCACUUUAUUGUAUUUAAUGGUCUGCGUACCAAUCUAUGAUGACCCAAGCAACUAUGUAAUCUUCAUUACUAGAUUCUUUACUAGCUAUUAGGCGUAAUAGCAUGCUCUAGUUCUUGGAGGACUCAUCACCAGGAGGAUGGCUCACAUGGAACAUGGAGAUGGAGAUCACCAUGGUGAACAGGUUCUAUGGAGAUGGAGAUCACCAUAUGAAAACGGGCCAUACUGUGUCACAACUGUGUGAAUGCUAUUCUGUUUAUGUUUUACUUUCUGCAUGCUGUGAUGUUAGAAGUAGAAUGAUCCCUCACAAAGUUUAAGUUAGUAUGCCCUCCCAACUAAAACUUGCACCGUCCCAUGUCUUGUACAAUUAGUGGUGGGUCUAUGAAAUUAGGGUGCCACUAGUUUUCCUUGACUAGACGGGUUUGUGUCGGACACUUACACGCAUAAGGGUUGGUUUGCUUAACGAGGUUAUCUUAACGGUUAAAGACCUUGGGGCAUAAAGGUUGGGCGCCGAGACAUAGAGAUGUCACCCAACAAUAGGAGUCAUAUGUGAUAUGAUUAGCAAAAGUUGCUUACCGAUCUACCUCGUUUGCUAGCGGUGAUGCUAAAGCUCACUAGUGGACUUGUUAGUUGUGGAUCCUGAAUCACUAAGUUUCAAUAGAGGGAUAUUGAUUUUAGUGGGAGUAGAUUCUGUUAAAAUAGUUUAAUGUAAUUUGCUCUAUCAUGGAUACGUUUGUCUUAGUGUAUUUUGCAUUACUUUUGUUGUAGAUUAAAUGGCACCUAGCAACACCACCACAUCGUUUGCUUUGCGUUCGGUCCUUGAGAAGGACAAGUUGAAUGGAACAAACUACUCGGAUUGGAUCCGUAACCUGAGAAUUGUUCUCAAGGCCGAUAAAAAGGAAGAUGUUCUAGACACCCCACUACCACCAGUACCUGCUGAUGAUGCAUCUGCUGCCGUUAACGCUGCUUACAAGAAGGCAUUUGAUGCUAAUCUUGAGGUAAGCUGCCUUAUGCUUGCUUGCAUGGAACCCGAGCUGCAGAUGCAGUUCGAAACAAAUCAUGAGGCACACGAUAUGAUCGUGGCGCUCAAGGACAUGUUCCAGACACAGGCUAGGACCGAAAGGUUCAAUGUGUCCAAAGCCUUUCUGGAGUGCAAGUUAGCAGAAGGCGCAGCAGUAGGACCACAUGUAAUGAAGAUGGUUGGUUACACUCAGCGAUUGGAGAAGCUGGGCUUCCCAAUGGGCAAAGAGUUGGCCACUGACUUUAUUCUUUCAUUUCUUCCGCCUAGCUAUGGGAACUUCAUCUCGAACUACCAUAUGCAUGGGACGGAGAAGGGUUUGAAUGAACUGUGUGGUAUGCUCAAGACAGCAGAGGUAGACAUCAAGAAAAGCGCUAGUACCAGCCAUGUGAUGGCUAUACAGAACAAGCCUAGCUUUAAGAAGAAGGGCAAUUCUUGGAAGAAGAAGGGCAAGGCUGGAACGUCCAAGCCAAACCCAGCGCCCAAGGUUAAAGCUGGACCUGGACCUGCUCCAGACAAAGAGUGCUUUUACUGUCAUGAACUUGGUCACUGGAAGAGAAACUGCAAGCAGUACCUAGCUUCGUUGAAGAAUGGCGGAAGUAAGAGUACUUCUACCUCAGGUACGCUUGUUGUUAAUGUUAUAGACAACAUAUUUCUUGCUGAUACAAUUAUUAAUUCUUGGGUAUUUGAUACCGGAUCGGUUGCUCAUAUUUGCAAUUCGAUGCAGGGAAUGAUAAGAAGUAGAAGCGUGGAAAGAGGAGAAGUUGAUUUCCGCGUGGGCAAUAAUGCAAGAGUUGCUGCGUUGACCGUCGGGACGAUGCAACUCCACCUCCCGUCAGGAUUUAUUAUGGAGUUGAAUAAUUGUUAUUUUGUUCCUAGUUUAAGUCGAAACAUUUUGUCUCCUUCAUGCUUGAUGAAGGAUGGUUAUUCAUUUGCGAGUGAAAACAAUGGUUGUGUGAUCUCUAAGAAUAAUAUGUUUAUGGCUUUUGCACCCAUUGUGAAUGGAUUAUUUGUUUUAAAUCUUGAUGGUUCACCUGUCUGUAAUGUAAGUGCUAAAAGGCCUCGGCCUAAUGAUUUGAGUCCUACCUACUUGUGGCAUUGUCGUUUGGGUCAUAUAAGUGAAAAGCGCAUGAAGAAGCUCCAUUCUGAUGGACUUCUAACUUCGUUUGAUUUUGAAUCAUACGAGACAUGUGAGGCUUGCUUGCUAGGCAAGAUGACCAAGACGCCUUUCACAGGAUUUCUUGAGAGAGCAGUAGACUUGUUGGAACUCGUACAUAGUGAUGUAUGCGGACCAAUGAGCACGACGGCUAGAGGAGGAUUCCAAUACUUCAUAACUUUCACUGAUGAUUUUAGUAGAUAUGGCUAUGUCUACUUGAUGAGGCACAAGUCUGAAACCUUUGAAAAGUUCAAGGAAUUUCAGAAUGAAGUUGAAAAUCAGCGUGGCAAGAAAAUUAAGGCCUUACGAUCUGAUCGUGGAGGCGAGUAUUUGAGCCACGAGUUUAGCAAUCAUCUAAAGAGUUGCGGAAUUGUUCCACAACUUACGCCGCCUGGAACACCUCAGAGAAAUGGUGUGUCCGAGCGAUGUAAUCGAACUUUGUUAGACAUGGUUCGAUCAAUGAUGAGCCAGUCGGACCUACCGUUGUCAUUUUGGGGAUACGCUCUAGAAACAGCAGCUUUCACACUUAAUAGGGUACCAUCUAAAUCCGUAGUUAAGACACCAUAUGAGAUAUGGACUGGAAAGGUUCCUAGUUUGUCUUUUCUAAAGAUUUGGGGAUGUGAAGUGUUUGUCAAGCGACUUCAGUCGGACAAGAUCACACCCAAGUCGGAUAAGUGCAUUUUCGUGGGAUAUCCAAAGGAAACUUUGGGAUAUUAUUUCUUCAACCGAUCAGAAGGCAAAGUGUUUGUCGCUCGGAACGGGGUUUUCCUAGAGAAAGAGUUUCUCAAAGGAGAAAAGAGUGGAAAGACAGUGCAUCUUGAAGAAGUUCAAGAUGAGCCAAUCGGGCAAGAAUCAAUGAGUGAUGCUAACGUAGCAGAACAAGUUGAGAUACCCAUGGCAAGAGAGGCACCGCCACAACCACGAAGGUCGGCAAGGCUCCGCGAAAUGCGGGAAAUAUUAUUGUUGGACAAUGAUGAGCCUGUGACAUAUGCAGAAGCAAUGAUGGACCUAGACUCCGAAAAAUGGCAGAAUGCCAUGCAAUCCGAAAUAGAGUCCAUGGGAGACAAUCAAGUUUGGAACUUGGUUGACCCGCCUGAUGGUGUUAAAGCCAUAGAGUGCAAGUGGAUCUAUAAGAAGAAAAAGGACAUGGAUGGAAAUGUUCACAUCUAUAAAGCACGACUUGUCGCAAAAGGUUUUCGACAAGUUCAAGGAGUUGACUGCGACGAGACCUUCUCGCCCGUAGUGAUGCUUUAAGUCCAUUCGGAUUAUUCUAGCUAUAGCUGCAUAUUUCGAUUAUGAGAUAUGGCAGAUGGAUGUCAAGACAGCUUUCCUGAAUGGAAACCUAACUGAGGACGUGUAUAUGAUACAGCCCGAGGGUUUUGUCGAUCCGAAAAAUGCUGGAAAAGUAUGCAAGCUUCAGAGAUCCAUUUAUGGAUUGAAGCAAGCAUCUAGGAGUUGGAACAUUCGUUUUGAUGAAGUGGUCAAAGGGUUUGACUUCACCAAGAACGAAGAAGAGUCUUGUGUUUACAAGAAGGUUAGUGGGAGCUCUGUAGUAUUUCUAAUCUUAUAUGUGGAUGACAUACUACUGAUUGGAAAUAACAUUCCUAUGCUUGAGUCCGUAAAGACUUCACUGAAAAAUAGUUUUUCAAUGAAGGACUUAGGGGAAGCGGCAUAUGUUCUGGGCAUUAAGAUCUAUAGAGAUAGAUCGAGAAGGCUUAUAGGUUUAAGCCAAGAUACUUACAUUGACAAAGUGUUGAAGCGGUUCAGCAUGGAAGAGGCAAAGAAAGGGUUCUUGCCUAUGUCACAUGGCAUACAUCUCAGCAAGACUCAGUGUCCUUCGACUGCUGAUGAGCGGGAUCGCAUGAGUAGAGUGCCAUAUGCCUUGGCUAUUGGAUCUAUCAUGUAUGCAAUGAUAAGUACUCGCCCAGAUGUUUCAUAUGUGCUAAGUAUGACAAGCAGACACCAAUCUGAUCCAGGUGAGAGUCACUGGACAGCGGUGAAAAACAUUCUUAAGUACUUGAGAAGGACUAAAGAUAUGUUCCUCGUCUAUGGAGGUGAGGAGGAGCUCGUUGUAACAGGUUACACCGAUGCUAGUUUCCAAACCGACAGAGAUGAUUCAAAGUCACAAUCAGGAUUUGUGUUCACGCUAAAUGGUGGUGCUGUUAGUUGGAAGAGUUCCAAGCAAGAGACGGUGGCCGAUUCUACGACAGAAGCCGAGUACAUCGCGGCUUCGGAAGCCGCGAAGGAAGGUGUUUGGAUAAGGAAUUUCCUCAUUGAGCUUGGUGUGUUCCUGAAUGCGUCCAGCCCAUUGAAUCUCUACUGUGAUAACAAUGGGGCAAUUGCGCAAGCAAAAGAGCCAAGGAACCACCAGAAGAACAAACACGUAAUGCGACGAUUUCAUCUCAUUCGAGACUUCGUUAACCGGGGUGAGAUCAAGAUAUGCAAAAUACACACGGAUCUGAACAUUUCUGAUCUGUUGACAAAACCACUCCCGCAGGCUAAGCAUGAUGCGCAUGUAAGAGCUAUGGGUAUUAGGUACCUUCUAGAUUGACUCUAGUGCAAGUGGGAGACUGUUGGAGGUAUGCCCUAGAGGCAAUCAUAGAGAUGAUGAUAUUCCAUUUGUAUCCAUGAUUUGUAUGUUGUGUUCAUUGAAUAUCCAUUGAAGGCUACUUGAAUUGAUUUGCAAUUAUGUGAAUUGUAUGUGAAACUCUUUACUUGUAUGGUUAUUCUAAAGUUGUCCCUAGUCGGAGUUCAUGUGAGGACACACAUGAAUAUUAGACUAGCACAUGUAUUAGUUGAUGACUAUGUUUCACAAGUCAUGGACAUGGAGAUGUUGAACUAAUAAUGUGGACACAUGUGGAGACAUGUGCUAGGACUGACCCAACACGAGAAGUAGUUCUCUCUUUAAACAACAUAUACGCUUUGUCCUUAGACCUGAGAUUGUCGUAUGUAUUCUAGAUGUGGAUCGACCUACUUAGGGGCUAUCAAACACUAUGCCGUAACAGGGUAGUUAUAAAGGUAGCUUUCGGGUUUGUCAAGAAGCAUGCUAUGAGACAUGGUCAAUCAAGAUGGGAUUUGCCCCUCUCUGAUUGAGAGUGAUAUCUCUGGGCCCCUCGAGUGAUCGGAUCCGAAAAUGCAUGGCCAUGCUACGUACGCUUAAGAGUUAACCUACAGAGGGAUUCCGAAUCACAGGAUCGAGAAAGAGCGGUCGGCUUGAUGCUAGACCAAAUAUCGUGAGGCAAAGGGAAUAGCAUGUAUAUUAUGUUGUGAUGGUUCGUCUGAUAUGAUCUUCGUGUGCGUAUAGGAGUUGGCACGUCUUGCUAGAGGCCGCUACCGACUAUUGGGCCGAGUAGGAGUACUCGGGCCAUGUCUAUACGUAUCCGAACCCAUAGGGUCACACACUUAAGGGGCUGGAAGCCCAAUUCAGAUCAGAUCCGAGUUGGAUUAGGUUUAGAAGUACUAAUGGGCCUCGGAUCGAGAGGACCGUUAGGAACCUCUAUAAAUAGAGGGGUGGGGGCGCCCUAGGGUUUACACCUUUUGGCGAAACACACCUGCCGCGCCUCCCACGCCCUCGCCUGUUGCAACUCGCGGAUCUAGCAGUCCGACUUGCGACGCUUCCUCCCUGCAUGUGUGGAUACCUUGGAGGUGUUGCGCCUGCAGCACUUGGACGAGCCAUCGACGAGCCGCCGACGAGCCACGAUGAGCUGACGACGAGCCGCGGCACCGGAGGCGAUCUUGCUGCACGUGGACGAGCUGUUGAGGAGCUGCUGGACGUGAUUGACUACGUCUGACUACGUGAUCAUCUUCACUGCAUCGACGCAUAUCUACAUCUUCCGCACCAGUAGUGCGUCGAGUGGUAAUCCUGUGAUCCUUAUACGGCAGUUUUUCCUGGUUAUACGCGGUAGAAAAUUUUGAUUUGCGCUAGUGUAGCCUACCUCGUAUCCCAACACUUAGUUCCAAAGGUAACUGGGAGGAUGACUUGUCCUAGUGGUAUAGCUGCGUUCCAGGUACGAUGCCAUAGAAGGGUGAAUCUAUUGGAGUAAGCAUUUUUGUAACAUCAAGGCACAUCUUUCUCAAUGUUUUGGCGAAAAUGACGUUGAGUCCACUUCCGCCAUCGAUGAGUACUUUGGUUAGCUUUGAGCCUACCACAAUGGGAUCGAGUACUAGGGGGAACCGGCUUGGUUUUGAGAACUUGGUCCAGUCCUUUCUGCUGAAGUUUAUGGGCACUUCUGACCACUUUAGCGGUGUUGGAUCUAUUGGUUCAAUGGCCAUGAUCUCCCUGAGUACGAGUUUGUUGGCUCGCUUGGAUGCGGUGCCUGGGAUUCCGCCAAAGAUGACGUUGACUAUCUUGGAGGCAGUUUGGAAGUCGCCUUCUUCUUCUUCAUUGUUGUGGACUUUGUUCUUGCUCUUAUCCUUUUUCUUGGUGUACUCUUCAGGGGGUGGUAGUGCGGGUAAGUCUUGCAUUACUCGGUGCAUGUUGUAGCAGUCUAUUGCCGAGUGUUUGCUAGUCGGGUGCCAUGGGCACUGCUUUUUGAGUAGUUCGGUGAAGGUCGGCCCUUCAUCAUUUUUGCGGGAUCCCUUUUUCCCGGAGUUGGUCAUAGUAGCAACAGUGUUAUCGGGCUUCCUUUUGCGAUUGUGAUUGCUCGAGAAGUUGUUUCGAGUAUCAUUGUGUCGAGUUCUAUCCUAGUCAUUGUUGUCGCAUCCACGGUUGCGAUGGGAGCCAAACCGUUCUCGCUCUUUGUCUUCUUCAUCUGCCCACUAUUGCACCAUAACUUUAAGGUCUUUGACAUUAGCUGGCCGUCGUCGACUGAAGUCUUGGUAUGUUUGUUGAUCGUAGAGUCCAUUCUGGAAGCACUUGAUGACGUCUGUUUUUGAAAUGUCAACUAUGGUUGCCUUCUUUUCGAAGAACCGUCGCAAAUAGUCGCGUAAGGUUUCGCCUUCUUUUUGCUUAAUUUGACUUAAGUCGAUCUUGUUGCCUAGUCUAGCCAUGGAGCCGACGUAGUUGUUGGUGAAAGCUUUUGUCAAAUCUGCCCAAGAGUUAAUUGACUUGGGUUUGAGUGACUCUAGCCAUGUCAAUGGUGCGGGUUCCAUGCAUAUGGGGAAGUGGAUGACUUUGGUGUCAUUAUUGCCUCCGGCUGCCUGAACUGCCAAGGAGUAGCAUCGCAGCCAUUGAAUAGGGUCUUGCUUGCCAUCAUACUUGGUGAUUCCUGUUGGCUUGAACUUAUCAGGUAGUCUUGUCUUCAUUACCCGAUUUGUGAAAGCAGGAAAGUGGUUGUAGUUGUCGACUUCUCGCUCGCGCCGACUGUUGAGGAUUUCUCAUAGAUCACUGAAGUUUGACACUUCGUGGUUCUUCCGAGUAGGGCGAAUACUUUUUAUCGAGUUGGUGCAGCUGGCGUCUCCAACAUCCUUAUGGCGUGUUGGGGCCUUGUGUUUGCUUGGGCCUUGGCUGUGUUGCCGAGGCUGGUUGACGACUUCAAUGUCAUUUCUUGGAGCAUCGUUGUUGUUGGCUGCAACACCUCUGCUGCCUUCUUGGUGAGCUGUGAUGCGAGGAACAGACGGAAUUGGUGAUUCUUUAUCGAGUAGCUUGUAGGCUUGCUCCGCGAGUUGUGCGAUUAGUGCAUUGCCGUGCUGCACGAGCUGAGCUGUGGCUUCGUUGUCCCUGUCUUGAGGCAUCAACAUAGUUAAAAGAUUGAUAGAGGCGAUUGCCGCAAGUGGAGUGUUGUGCUCUUGAGCCUGAACUGCAUCGAAAGCUCUCUCAAAGUUUGUGAUGGGAAUAUUUGUCGCCAUCGAUUGCCGUCGCUCGGCUCGACUAGCAUUGCGCAUCCUUCUUUGGUUCCUUUGAUCGGAGGUUUCAUUUUGUGGGGUGUCAGCUGUUGACUCGUCUUCUGAGAUGUUGUCGAGUUGUGCUAAUCGCCUGGGGGUUCUGUUCUGGCUAGUACCCGGGUUGUUAUUUUGAGUAAUAACAAGGACUUUCCUAUCUAGGUAGGAGCUUCCGGAGCUUGAUGUUGCAAUCUCUGUGGAACUUUCCACGCGGUUGGAAGCGAGUGGGACACCCUCUUGAUAUGGGAGGUUGUCUAUAUGAGCGACAAGGCGCGAGUCGUAGUCGUGGGCAAGAAGAGAUGGUCUCAAACUUGGCCAAUGUACGAAUCUGCCUUGUGACGUUGAAGUCAGUACCAGUCCUUGGGCUGGACCAGAUAAUGGUAUCUCUGGCGGAUAAACCGAGUCAGAGUCAUCAUCUUCGUCGUGCCCAAGUUCGUGUUGAAUUCGAGUAAGUAAACCCUGGUGGGCUUCGGCUGCAUUGUAGAGUCUGUGCGGAAACCGUUUUGGAGUGGAAGCCUGCUUGGGAAGUGACUGGGACUGCUAGUCCGAACCGAAGUCGAGUCCGACGCAUAGUCAAACUCAAAGUUGUCAACAUUGAAAUCUUGGUUUUUUCUAACCAAACCCUCCGAUUUCUUCUCCUGGGCGUUGACGAUCUGGCGCCGGAACGAAUCAGCGCCAUCGGUGAUGCAGAGCCAGGAUUCAAAAACAAAGGUUGCGCCCGCUUCAAUGAUGAAGACGGGCUUGAUGAUGACUGUUGCCAUUGAGUUUGUGCUGAGAAACUCGACGAGCGCCCCUACCUGGCGUGCCAGUUGUCGGUGUUUUAGACCGACAACCCGCCUAGGGGGUACCCUAGGUGGUCUUUUGUGCGGUAAGGGUCGUCGAGAAUCAAGGAAUCAAUGGUGACGCAAGGAACACGAUUUAGACAGGUUCGGGCUGCUAGAUCGCGUAAUGCCCUACGUCCUGUGUGUUUGUAUUGAUCUUGGAUGAACUGGAGUUGUUCUGUUUGAGGGGGUCCCUGCCCGCCCUGAUAUACACGGGAGGGCAGGGUUACAAGUCUGAGUCCUAGUCGAGUACUACUACAGAGUUCUACUCGGUAUGGCCCGAGUAGUUUUCCAUACACAUACUUGACUAGUCCGAGCGGGAUACGCCCAUCCCUUGUCCUAAUCAUAUCUGAGUACGUCCCUUUGUGGGCCGUCCAGGGUCUACUUGUGGGCCUGGGAUGCAUGCCCAACACACAUCCCGUCCCGUCCUGCUGCAUACCACAAUAACUUCCCACGUCCCAUCUCGUCCCGUCCCGCUGCAUACCGCAGGCCUAGUACUCAAGAACUCUGUUGACUACGACUCACAUUACAUGGUGAUGCAGCAAAACAUGCAUGACAUGCCUCGAUCAAGAUGGUAGAUGGUGGACAUGACACAUCAGUCUUAAUUAUGAAGAAAGCUUUCGCAUGCUUUUGUACCUAGCAUGAAAUCAUGUACGUCUCGGUAUCAAUCCCCUUACCCCUCAAUAUUAUUUUCGAGUUUCCCUAGGUAAAAGGCGGCUCUUCAUGGGAAGUGGUGUGACCAGACUAUGGAUUGGGUAAACGACAUAGAUCAAACACGAAGCUAGGACAUACUCCUACUCCUAAAUAAGUGUACCUUGGUAAAGAUGUCACGCUGCAAAAAGAACAAGUCCCUCAAUGGUUUGUGCGAUAAAUCAUGUCCUUGAGGAGAUCGAUUACCAAUUUGCACCGAAACAUUGUCUUUUAGCUCCCACAUAAAAUCACCUCAAGGCAAAGAAGGUGUGACAUUAAACAUGAUACACCUAUAUGAUAUGCCAUAUAUAUGAUACACCUAUAUGAUACACAUUGGACCAUAAAAGAUUCCAACUUGCCUAUUGGUAAGCCCCUAGUACGUUGGACACAUUCAAAAAAGUUCCAUUCAUUGUAGAGUAAGUAAAUAUUGAAGCAAAUGACAAAAUAUUAAUACAAGGGGUCGGGUAACACAGCGUUAAUACAACGGAUUUGGACAAAAAAUGCGAAAUCUAAGCACGUUUAACGUUUUCACAAUGAAUCAAAAUAAAAAAAGAAGAACACCAUGAACCGAACUAGAGCAGCAUAUGAACCCGGCGUUGACAAGUGGGUCCUGCAUGUCAGUAACACACCGGUCCGAAACUAUGUAUAACAAGGUUAAAAAGCUAUUAGUGAAACAAAACCACAAGUAACUCAUUGGUGUCUGCGACAUUAAUAUAAAUUGACGAUCCAGCUUCGACACCUGUCCUCCACCCUUUUUCCUUUUUUUGCAUUUUCUUUCAAUUUAUAUUCCUUCAUUUUUUCUAGUUUUUAGUCCAAAUUUUUUGCCAAUUUAGGUUUAUACAAAACCAAAAUAUAUUUUGUUAAGUCCUAACACAAUGUGCAUGAGUGAAUGGUAUCACAAAUACAAGUGUAUCACUAGCUUGGUGUAUCACAAAUAAAAAUACAAAGAUAAGUGUAUCUCGCUGUCACGAACCCAAACCUUGGUAAAGAUGUCACACUACCAAAAGAACAAGUACCUCAAUGGUUUGUGCGAUAAAUCAUGUCCUUGAGGAGAUCGAUUACCGAUUUGCACCGAAACAUUGUCUUUUAGCUCCCACGUGAAAUCACCUCAAGGCAAAGAAGGUGUGACAUUGAAUAUGAUACACCUAUAUGAUAUGCCAUAUAUAUAAUACACCUAUAUGGUACACAUUGGACCAUAAAAGAUUCCAACUUGCCUAUUCAUAAGCCCCUGGUACGUUGGACACAUUCAAAAAAGUUCCAUUCAUUGUAGAGUAAGUAAAUAUUGAAGCAAAUGACAAAAUGUUAAUACAAGGGGUCGGGUAACACAAUGUAAAUAAAACCACGUGAAAGGGAAAAGUUGUUUGACAAAUUGGAAAAAAGAAUCAAUGGAUUUGGACAACAAAUGCGAAAUCUAAACAUGUUUAACGUUUUCACAAUGAAUGAAAAUAAAAGAGAAGAACACAAUGAACCGAACUAGAGCAGCAUAUGAACCCGGGGCCGACAAGUGGGUCCCGCAUGUCAGUCACAAACCGGUCUGAAACUAUGUAUAACAAGGUUGAAAAGCUAGAAGUGAAACAAAACAACCAGUAACUCAAUGGUGUUUGCGACAUUAAUAUAAAUCGACAAUCCAGCUUUGAUCCCUGCCCUCCACCCUUUUUCCUUUUCUUUAUUUUUGCCGAAAAUUGGGUUGGCACCCGCAUGCAACCAUUUACCGCCUAAUAACCCACCCAUUUUUCCAACAAAUCGAAUCUUAACCUCCCUACUUCCACAUUAUCCUCCCUAUCUCCUCCAAUUCUUUCCUUUCCCUCCUCCAACUCGGUUCCCGAAUGCGCGCCCGAGGAAUGCGCUUCGUCGUCAGCGCGCGUGGGGAGCUGGACCCACUAUGUCAUAACACGUGGGAACCGCAUAUCACUGGCUCUUGCUAUGAAAACUACUCUACGCUUUUAGAAACAAAAUCUACUCAUUGUCGCCUCCCAUUCCUGGAUGCGCCUCGUCUGCAGGGUCACUCGUGUCAUUACCGAGUGGGCCCAAUUGCUACCAGGCCCACACGUUAGUGAUAUUUGACCUACAUAACUGAAGGCGUGUACUCCCACUUCCAGAGUACACUUCCAUAACUAAAUGGCCCCUUCAUCUCCGCCCCCUAUCAAUGCCCACCUAUCUCCCCCAACACGUCCCAUCACAAUCCCGCACGCACGCCUCGCUCGCUCUCCUUCGCUUCCCUUCCCAUCAUGGUUGAGCGCAAGAAGAUGCACAACUCUAGUCGGCAGCUACGCAACAAAUCCACCGGGUGAUUCAAGAAGAUGAUCCCAGGGACGGCUUCCACCAUGGCUGUCAGGGAGAAGAAUGGACUUGGCACAUCCACCAAGUGUCGGCCAAGGCGCUCGAUCCCUAAGGAGGUGAUACUAGAAAAUUAGAUUUAGUAUACCACAUAUUUAAUUUCUUGAUUCGGUGACAUGAUAACUUUACAAUCUCAUGAUAGGCGUGAAUCAGCAGUCCACGCGACCCGGUCUGAGCCCACCACAUCUACACCGAGUCUUCUCCCUCCAAGGACGAGCCAUACGUCCAAUAUGACUGGCCAGACAUGCCAGCAAGUCUCAAACCAGUAUGUGUUCUUUAUUUCGAAUAAGUUCUAACACUAUGUGUUGCCAUGUCAUGAUCCUAUUAAAAUUGAGCAACACUUUAUUUAGUUUUGUGACCCUAUUUUCCCUGUAAUGAAGGUCGCUGGAGAUACCUAUGAGGUCGUCUUCCCAAAGAUGUCAUGUACAAUGAUACUCACUCAGGGGAGCGAUGAUGAGCUCUCUGAUGGACCUGAGCUGUCUGGUAGGCAGGUGAUGUUCCUACCCUUUAAGUUAAUCAUCAAUUGGUUUCUAUUAUGUUCUAUUUUGGUUUAUCUAGUCAGAUUAUCUUUUUCACAUGCUAAGUAACCCCCUUCAAAAAUGUCAGGUGCGAGAGAAGAUAGAAGAGGUUCGCGUUGCUAUCAAGCGCAAGCUGCGGAAGGGCCAUUUCUGCACUGUGGAAGGCACGGACGACUAAUGUUGACGAGGGAGUAGUGUUUGUUGAUGUAGAAGUAUCGAUACUCUUAGUGAUAAGAGUUAUGUUAGUUGAUCAUGUCAUGGAUGCCUCUUCUUUAUUUCUGUAACAUGAGAGGCAUGAACCAUGUUGAUUUUGCUAACAUGUUAGUUGAUGUAGAAGUAAUGGAUGCCUCUGCUUUAUUUUGCUAACAUGAGAGGCAUGCACCUACUAUAUCAAACUAGAUGCACAUUAGUUCUCAUCUGGUUUAGCAUUUGAUAAAGUUCAUGGUUCAUGGUAAAUAUAAUAUCUUAAUGUUUUACAGAAAUCAAAUGCACAUUAGUUCACGAAGUAAACUUUGCAACUCCAAAUUACACAAAGAAAAUAUCUUUGUCUUCUCCAGGUAUAUUGACUGGAGCAACAACUCCAUCACCAAUGUAGGUGUCAUCAGAAUCAUCUUCAUCUUCUGAUAUGUCUGCAUGAUCCGGUUCAGGCAUGGGCACCAUCUUUUGAAGUACAGAUGCAUCACCAGUUAACCCUUGCAUGUCUGGCCUAAUCCAGUUUGUCAAAGCCUCCUGCUGGUCCUCAACAUUAAUUUGUUCCACUCCUGUGAUAACCGAGUCCACAUUGGUAUCACCAACACUGUCCUCAACUUCUGGCAUGGCAAAGUGGGCCCUAGGUUUCAUUUUGAGGACACCGCACCAUUUAGUACCUUUCUUCCCUCCUUUCACAUAACACACUUGCUUCGCUUGUGCUACCAGGAUGUAUGGAUCAUCUGAGUAGCGAAACCGAGUGGUAUCAAUAUCGAUAAUCCCAAAUUUAUAUUUACUGUUCCCUCUAGAUUUGCUCUUAGUUGGUGCAGGAACAUCAUACCAGUCACACUCAAACAAUGUGACUUCAUGCUGAUUAGGAAAAUCAUGGAUGAUGAUUUUUUUAAUCACUCCAUACCAUCAUUGCCCUUGACAACAACAUCACUAUUCUGUGUUGAUAGAUUUUUCUCUACAUCUGAUGUCCGGAAGAAAAACCCAUUGAUGGAAUACCUGUUCCUCACACUAACUAUUUGUUCCGGACCAUAAGAUAGAGAAUAAAUCAUUUCAUCUGCUUUUCCCUCUGCAUGUAGGUUCCUGAUCUACACUCAGAAAUGUUUGGAAAAUAUGUUACAAACAAAUAUAUUCAAAUGUGAGGAAUAAAAUUAAACAGAAAUAUAUAUGACUCACUUUACGCUCAAACCAAUGUACAAAUUCAGCCUUGUGCCUUCUAUCAACAUUAUGCGAGUUGGUGUUCCUCAAUUCGUCCAUGUGCUCAUUGAUGAAACAAUAAACUUAUGUCAGUUAGGUAGUGAACACAAUAUAAAAAACACAUAGGAUCACAUGUAGCUUACUUUAUCCAAGAAGUGGCCUCAUCAUAGUUGGAUAUUAUGUAGUGCCUCAUCCUGCGCAUGUCAUCAGGAGAAGGUAUCUCCAUAUUGUGCCUAUGACUACUUUUCUUUCUAGUGAAGUCCAUGCUCGCAAAUACACUUAGACCAACAGGUGGUUCACUAAAUUUGCUCCUUUCUUGACGCUUUGGCCGAUUCAGCUUUGUACUAGCACCUUCAAAGAACCGCGAACAAAAUGUAAGGCACUCCUUCGAGAUGUACCCCUCUGCUAUUGAACCCUUUGGGCACGCUUUGUUCCUCACAUAGCCUUUGAGGGUACGUAGGUACCUCUUAACUGGAUACAUCCAUCUAUAGGAAACAGGACCCCCAAGUUUAGCCUCCCAAGAAAUAUGAGCUAGUAAGUGCAUCAUAAUAUCAAAAAAUGCUGGAGGGAAUAUCAUCUCAAGCCGACAAUGGAUCUCUCCAAUCGAUUUGGUAAGUUCUUUCAUCUCAGUUUCCUCAAGCUCCUUUGAACAUACCGAACUAAAAACCUGCUGAGCUCGAUCGAUGGGAUCACUACUUCUUCAGGCAAUAUUUGGCGCACUACCAAGGGUAAAUGUUUUUGUAAUAUAACAUGGUAGUCAUGACUUUUAAGUCCAGCAACCUUAAAACCAUUAACAUCAACACAUCUCUUUAUAUUUGAGGCACAAGCAUCAGGCAUCUUAACACCUUGAAGAAAAUUGCACAGAAUUUCCUUCUAAUCAUCACCUAACUUGUACAACGCUGGUGGCAAAGUGUAUUUUCCUUUAUUGUCGAACAAUAGAUGUUGAUCCUACCUUAUACCCAAUUCUUGCAUAUCGAGUCUAGCCUUCUCACCGUCCUUACUUUUACCAGCCAAAUCAAGCAUAGUCCCUAGCAAGCUCUCACAUAUAUUCUUCUCAAUAUACAUCACAUCGAGAUUAUGGCGUAUAAGCAGAUAAUCCCAGUAAGGAAGCUCAAAGAAAAUACUCUUCUUCCUCCAGUUGUCCCAUCUAUUAUCUUCAUCGUGCUGCUUCCUCUUUGUAAGAGUAGGCGCUCCAAAAGUGACUUUCUCGAAACUCUUGUACUGCUCCACUACUUGUGCACCACUGAGGGGUACUGGAGUCUCCCUCAUUUCUACCUUGUUAUUGAAGCUGACCUUGUUCCUCCGCCACCUGUGGUUUGUAGGUAAGAAAUGACGAUGGCCCCUGUAGCAAUGCUUUGAACCAUAUUUUAACCACAAGUAAUCAGUAUCCUUGUGACAAUAAGGACAAGCAAACUUGCCUUUUGUGCUCAAACCAGACAACAUCGCAUAUGCAGGAAAAUCAUUAAUUGUCCAAAGUAGCAUUGCACGUAGAGUAAAAUUUUCCUUUUUAUCCGCAUCCCAAGUAUCAACUUCAUAAUCCCAUAGCUCUUUAAGCUCAUCGAUCAGAGGCUGCAAAUAUAUAUCAAUGUUAACUCCUGGAGAUUUAGGCCCAGGAAUUAGCAUCAACAUCAUCCAAUAGGAUUGUUCGAAGCACAACCAAGGAGGCAGGUUAUAAGGAAUUAGGAUCACUGGCCAUGUAGUGUAAGUCACAUUCAACAUCCCAAAUGGAUUGAAGCCAUCUGAUGCAAGUGCCACCCUAACAUUACGUGGAUCACUUGCAAAUGUACUAUUCUUGGCAUCUACGUGCCUCCAUGCCUUUGAGUUAGCUGGGUGCCACACUUUCCCAUAUUCAACCAAUUCUUCCUUGUGCCAACGCAUAUGUGCCGAUAUGGUCUCGUUCAUAUAUAAUCUCUGCAAUUAAGGAAUAAGUGGAAAAUACCUCAGUAUCUUAUGAGGUAAGAGCUUCUUCUUUACUCCACCAGUGCCAUCACCACCACACUCUAAAUAUGUAUCUUUCCACCUACUCUCCCCAUAUUUUGGGCAUGCGUUUAGCUACCCGUACUCUUCUCCACGGAAUAACACACAGUCAUUAACACAAGCAUGAAUCUUUUGGUAGUCCAAGCCAAGGUCUCGAACUACCUUUCGAACUUUGUCCAGGGUAUCUGGGACACAAUGGUCCUUAGGGAGCACAUGGCAGAAUAAUAACAGUACUUGCUCUAGAGCAUUGUUGCUAAUACCGAACAUGCACUUAAUCUAAUAUAGCCUCACAAUAAAAGAUAUUUGGGUAGCCUCCUGGCAACCUGGGUAUAGUUCUUUCCUAGCUUCUUCCAUUAAGUUGAAAAAUUCUCUUGCUGACUCAUUUUGCUCCUCAAUAUUACCACCUCUAGUUUCACCAUGUAUGGCACCAGUAAUUAGCGAUGAAAGCAGUUUAGUGGAUGAGACGCCAUCAUCAUGAUCACCUUCUUCACCUUCACAAACAUCCCAAUCAUCAUCGUCCACAACAAUACGUUUAGCAGAUCUGCCAGUAUGAUGUUGUUUUUUUUAAUACGGAUCAAACCCUCUGGUAUUCAAGUGCAACUCAACAACUUUUUUAUUUUGAUAUGCCAUACGACGACAUCCUCUACAUGGAUAGGGCGCAGUCUGCCCUGGAAAGGUGCCAUCAAAGGUAUCUUCAAUGAGUUUAGCAACUCCAUUUUGCCACGCAGCAUCUGUAUGUGACAAUUCCAUCCAACUACGAUCCUCAUGAUCAUGUGCCAUAUUGCAAAAAACCCAACUAAUCAUUUAAGCACAUGUUUGUAGUACUAUACAACUCCUAAAUAACCUAAAUAAAAUAUAGGUUCCUCCAUCGGUAUUAUUACUAUCAAUAAGUAUUAUAAAAACUGAAUGACUAUAUAUACUAAUUGAAGAACUCAAGUUUAUAAGCAUGCACAUUAAUUGCAAUAGGUCUGGAUCGAUUUUAUACCUUGCAUUGAGAGGAUGGAAUCGGACAAUGCCCGUGUCAUCCCGCGUUGAGAGAUCAUGGAGGGCUAACAAGGGGACUUUUCCUUGGCACUCGGCAACUCGCGCGCUAGGGAAGACGAUGGCAUGUGGCGAUCGCGCGACGAAGGCAGCAUCACCCGAAGAAGGGGAGGAGUCAUACGAAGAAGGAGGGGAGGCGACGAGAUCGUGGAGGACUAAUAUGGGGAGUCUUCCUUGGCACUCGGCAACUCGCGCGCUAGGGAAGAUGACGGCAGGUGGUGAUCGCGCGACGAAGGCAGCAUCACACGAAGAAGGGGAGGAGUUGUGCGAAGGAGGACGGGACGCGACGCUAAGAGAUAGAUCACGAUUAGGCCUCUCAGCUCGUGAAAGAAAGGCCUGUCAUAUGUGUGGGCCAAAAUAAAGGCCCACCAACAUAACCAAGCUCGCGGCACCCACAAACUCAUCUAUUGCAACUAUACAUUCCCUUACAUUGCAACGACUAUAUAUUAUUGCAAUAGCACCUUCUGUCUAGCAGCGAUUCGAGUGUUUGUUGUUAUAACCAAGAUUCUUUUGCAACAAUACCAUUUUCAUUGCUAUAUCUAAUACUAGUUGCAACGAUUCAUAUUAGCGUUGCUCUAUCUAAGACUCAUUUGCAACAUUUUCUAUUUUUGUUGCUAUAACCAAGAUUUCUUUUGCAACAACACCAUUUUCAUUGUAAUAACCAAGAUUUCUUUUGCAACAACACUGUGUUCGUUGCUAUAUCUAAGACUCUUUCGCAACGCACGAUAGUACUUAUCAUAACGUGUUAUAAUCGUUGCAAUAUGGACAACUAUUGCCACCACUAUAAAAUAGCAUGGCAAUAACGUCGCCGCAAUUACAACCAAUAUAUAUUCAUUGCGAUAUAGCGUAAUCGCAACGCUACAAAAAUGGUGGCAAUAUGGCACCCUAUUACAACCAACAAGGACUAUUAUCGUAAUAACCCCUAUGUAUUGCAACAAAAAUCGCCUGUUGUAAAAAUAAAUCGUGGUAUUAGUGACAAAAUCUUGUAGUGUUGUCACUCGGCAUUUCGGAGAUUGCCAUCUUGAGCUCCGUCUCUGUGAAUGAUCCAAAUCCUGAGCUUGUACGGUAGGCAGCUGCAACUUGUCCAGUUAAUGUCCAAUGCGCAUUGAUUUGGACGGCCCAUCAUUUUUUUCAAAAUGUUCCUGCACCACCUUGGCCUUCUGGUCAUGUUUGAUUGCCCAUUCUUGUCCAUAUUUUAGCCUGUGAACCUGGUUCUUGCGCCGCCUGCCAUUGAUCUUGCUGUGGAAGUAUUUAGUAUAAGCAUCACCUAAUUUAAGGUUCGUAAUUCUUAACACCUAACGUUUCCUAGCACGCUCGAUGACUGCAAGUCCUAGGAUUCUCCGCUUGAGCUUCUGUCGCAGUACCAGCUCGGAGGCUGAUAGGGGGCGCAAAUCUUGUGCUUUGUCUAGCUGGAAGAUAACAUCUGCGGCCAUCAGUAGCUGCAUUUUGGCGUUAGGAUAGAAUUUGUUGUUCCAUUCUCGUAGUGUUUUUGCUACAUUGCCAAGCUUAUGAUACAAACGGUGGAAAGGCUCGUGAUGUUCGAUUGGCUGAUUCCAGACUUCCUUGACGGUUUCAGUGAACCUGGGUAACUUGCAAUGAUUUUCGAACUUGAAAUGACGGGGUCGUUGCAGGCACGUUUGGUUGGUUAAAAGAGGGCAGUUAUCUGAAUGAGCCGUGGAUAGUGCGUGAAGGACAUGCGUCUGGAAAGUAGCGUCCUACUUUACAUUGCAGAAUAUGCGGUCUAGCCUUACAAGGGUCGGGCUCUAUUGCUCGUUGCUCCAGGUGAACUUCCGAUUUUGUAAGUGAAUUUCUUUUAGCUCACAGUCAGUGAGCAUGUCUCGGAAGAGGGACACGAGGUGAUGAUUUAGGUUUGCAUUAUUUUUGUCAGAAGCCUUGUAAAUAAAAUUGAAAUCGCCCAUGAUGACCCAUUCGGUUCCCUGAACCGGAACUAUCGAUCUCAUUUAGUGAAGAAAGGCAACUUUGUGAGCAUGGUGUGAUGGGCCGUAGACGUUCGAUAGUCGAAAAAGUGUGCCGUAUUCCUUUAUUAACACCGUUGCCGAAAUGUGGUAAUCUCCAAUGACUAUUUCCGAGACAUGGACAUGGUCGUCAUUCCAAAGGAGGAGAAGACCUGCUCUGGUUCCCGAAGGCCCUUCAGCAGGUUUGCAAAUGUGCUGCCUCAGCUUGUAACCUUCCAGGUAGAUUGCAGUAUGCGCGUCAAUGGUUUGGAGCUUGGUCUCCUGUAGACAGGCUAUGUGAUAUGGUGUAGCUGUGAUGAGAUGAUGAAUGGCAUCUUUACAGGCUUGCUGGUUUAAGCUGCGAACAUUCCAGCACAACAUGUCGAUGUCAGGGCCUAACAUUAAUGCUGAUGAACAUGCUCAGGUUGUUAGACGCCAUGCAGACGCCUGAUUGUUUGAGAAGUGGAGAGGACUUUAAGUCUCGGUUACAACCCAAUCGAAGCUUACAAAUUGAACGGAGACACGCAGAAACAGCACACACUCGCCGUCGCCAAACAGCAAUGUUCCAUGGCUUCCUGGCGAUAAACAAAAGACAAAGGCACUUCAUGAAGUCUUGGUAAUGCAUGGAGCCGACAGCAAUAACACUGAGGAUGAUCAUCAUGCCGCGACUAGGAUCACAGCCGCAUCCUCCACCUCACCGAUGCCGUCGCCCACCAUGGCUGCCAUGUCGAUGUCCAUCUGCUCCACCUCUUCGUCAUUAAGGUUGAAAACAUUUGUGAGUGCUUGAAUAAUCCCCUCCGGCAGUGGGCCACUGAACAUGGCAAGAUACUCCUGCAGAACGCGUUCAACAGGUUGGAUUUCAUCAUUAAGCAUGCCAAGUUUCCAGCAGAGAUUGUGCUGUGCGCGGCUGACAACAUCCAUCUGGGGCGCAUUAGCCAACCGAGCACUUUGGCGCACCUUGGACAUGUCAAAGGUUCCUUUUUUGCGGUGUCGUGUCAUUGGCUGUGUAUCACUUGCCUGGCGCUGCGACGGUGGUGGUGGCGAUUGAUGCAGAAGUGGUGGCGGUGGCAUCACAAAGAGAGCAGCAAUGUACUGUUGGGGAGGUCGUCGUCGUCCGUCCGGCCAGUCUCCUGCCUAGGGGACUGAGCCGGCAACGUGGCAGCACCGACUGGCGAGGCACACCGGCCGUGUCCAGAGGGCGGAGAGUGCAGCUGCGCCUGCCCAGCCGCUGGCGUAUGCUGGGCCGCCUGCCCAGCUGCUUGGCGGACCGGCUGAGACAAAGGUGCGGCCAGGUCAUCAUGUCCAGCAGGUGCGGCUGGCCUGGCCUCCUGCCCAGCCACCGGCGCCUGCUGGAACUCCCGUGCAAGGCCCAGCGCCGGCGAUUGCGGGAGAGGGCCGAUGAAAUGUGGUCCCUCCCGGCCCUGGUCCUCCAUCCGCCGGAGGGCGGCCUCGACAACACCGUGGGAAUAGUCGGAGCCGCUGUUGAGUGCCUCUCUGAUGCGUGCGAAGACUGCCUACACCGGCACCUGGCUGACCACACGCGUCGCCGUUGCCAUUGCAACAUGGUCACCCACCAGUGCUGGCAUCUGCUCACUGUGAAGCAGGGACCAGGCUUCUUUCCCGGGCGCGCCGCCAAGCGUGACCUCACCCAAGCCUAGCUGCGCGGUGAGCACCACAGGACGUAGUCCUGUAGGGGGGUAGCGGUGGCGUGUGUGUCCUCCUGCCCUGUGUUGUAGGCUGACAGGAGGUUGCGCACGGCCUGCUGCGGCGCCGAUGCUUGCCGCGUGAAGAUGGCCUGCAGGUCCGCCGCCUGGACAGAGAGAAGCAACUGCUCAUCAGGUAGAGGUUGGAGCUGUGGGAAUGUUACUGUGUGACGCCGGCCCCCAUGUUGUCUGCCGCUGCUGCUCCAAUCGCGCCUGCACGGUGAACGCUCCCAUUCACGGGAGGCGUCGUUGCGCCCCAGCUUCUGCUAGAGCUGCAGCCGGCGGUCUCGCGCGUUCCUGUCACCACCGUAGCCAUUGUCGUCGUCAUUGGGUCUCCUCCUACUCCAGGACUUGUGCACGUCCGGGUGGUCGUUGUUGUACCCACGCCGGCCGCGCGAGUCCCUGUACCGGUCUCUCCGGUCGUCCUUCCGUUUGUCGCCUUUGUCGCCAUCCUUGCAGAAGUGGUACGUCUUGGACGGAGGGGGCGGAUGAUGCGGGAACGUGUCGAAGAGGCGGCUGGGCACCUCCGCACCGUCCGCGACCCCAGGUGCCGCUGCGGCAGCCGGCGUUUUGCCGGCGUCAGGCGCCGUUGUGGUCGACCGUCGCGCGGGUGUAGUCGUGGAUUUCGUCGAGGUGGACGUAGACGCAAUAUUCGCGGCCGUGUUGCCUGUGUUCCGGGGGUGUUUCCGUCACGAGGACAGACUCGAGCUGCCUGUCCCGAGCCCUAGGUUAGCCGGACAUUCUUGGCUAUGGCGCUCGCCGUCCAUGCCCACAAGUCUAUCGUCUCCAUCUCUGCAGGGCACAUAAUGUUGGUCUCAACUUGUUCCAAACGACAAGACUUACUUAUGAUCUUUUCGGUGACGUCCUCCAUCCAUGCAUGCCCCGGGAUGGCGUCGAGGCACAGGCGCACCCUGUACAUGAGCAUCACGCCCAGGGCGUGGUUGAGGCUGCGCCACUUGAUGAAGUGGAUUUCGAUCCCCUAUCGGUUCGCGUGUCCCUUCUUGGCGGCUUCCGCAUAGUGCCUGCUAUGCUUGAACCGGACGAGGAAGGCUUCCAGGUGGUGCUUGGUCACGGUGACCUCAUCUUGGAGCAGUCGGAACUCCUCGCGGAUGGCGGCCGCAACUUGCACAGCCCCGUGCCCGGCGGCGCAUGCAUGGUCCAUCCCAGUUAGUAAUACCAACCGGGUCAAUUGUAACCGUUAGACUCAGGAAAUAGUUAAGAAAUGACUUAUGUAUCCUCAGCAUAUAUGUAGCACGUGACAGUAGUUAAGAAAUGAGUGUCGACGAUGACCUUAUCAUACGAGGAAUAUAAGGCUACAUUUGUUCUUGUACACUGGUAACAUGAUUGCAAAGUAAGGAACCACUUGCACACGUGACACGUUCUUUCUAAUUACAUGUACGAGGAAUCGGCAGACUGCUGCCGUCACUCCAGACUAAGAGGUGGAGACAACAAGAGCAAAGCACUAUAGGAGGCAGGAAAUGGUGGCGACGGUACCGGGAAAGAAAUGUGGACGCGCGCGGAUGGCGCAAUCGUACGUUGGCAUCAUACUUUCGUCUUGCUUUAUGUUCCAUCACGAGCGCAACGACCUCCACUGAGAUAUAUUCUCUCGCCAAAAACGUCAACGCCUACGUGAAGUCGCAAGUUUCCUUGGCUUAGUAUGCUUUAGGAAACAACAAAUGUUACCUAGACCUCUGCGGUGGCAGUUUCUACUACAGUUGUUCGCUUUAACAAAACUAUGCCUCUCGCUCGGAUUUAAUUUGGGAAAUAUUUAGCUUUUGGACAUUCCAAAACCUAGUAGUCCAAAAGUGAUAAAAACACUAGUAGAGAACUAACUUUCGAUGCGCCCCCUUUUGUCCCGGUUUAAAGUAGGCCCGGGAGAAAAGGGGGUGCGCCACGGUAGUCAAAAAUGGAGGGGAGAUUUACUCCCGGUUGUUAUUUGCAACCGGGAUUAAAGGCCCCCUUUAGUCCUGGUUGUAACGGCCAGUUCCGGGGUGUCGGUGGCGUGACCCUUUUGUCCCGGUUAGAGGCUCCAACUGGGAUAAAAGGGUGGACCUAUUGUCCCGGUUGGUAAUUCCAACCGGGAUAAAAGGGCUACCCUUUUGUCUCGGUUGGAGCCUCCAACCGGGAGUAAACUUUCAACCGGGAUAAAAGGUGUUCCUUUUUAUCUCGGUUGGAGGUUUUAACCGGGAUAAAAACUCAACCCCAUUAUAUACCAAGACAGAGGUCUUUCUUCCUCCUCCAGCCCGAGCCAGUCCACCACAAAGACAGAGAGCUCAGCUUCACCUACUCUCCGGUGGUGCCGAAGCAAGGGAGGUGCUGCCUGCAUUUUUUUCCCUCAUUUUCGUGGGAAUUUCACUCAGCCAAUACAAGUGUUGUGAAGGUUUGCUACUUCAUCCUCGUGUUACGCUUUGAUUUAUGCUUUGGAGAUGGAAAGUUUAUUUGCUAGAAUGUGAUGAAGUAGAAAAUGGACAAGUAUUUUGAGCUAGAAUGUGAGGGAGAUUGAUGUGUCAUAUAUAGUAUGUAUUCUUGCAGUGGUUUAAGAAUGAUUCUACCUUGUCUAGACGGUUCAUCUUAUCAAAUUCAAUAUGGUUUUUCAAAUCCAUACUUGUUGAACUUGCAUACCGAGUUCAUCUCUGCGAGGAUGUUCUCCGCCGAGCAGCAACGUAUGUCAAGAAGGAGGUUCGAUUCUACGAGAAAGAGUAGAUACGGACAUCGUGACCGUGUCCCCUUUUCCGUAGAAUCGAACCUCUUUCAUGACGAAGUGCGGUGCCGUCCAGUUGAGAACAUGCUCACCAGAUGAUCACGGUCUUCAAGUUCAACAAGUUCUGCAGGCAUACCGUGGUCAUCUCGGUAAGCAUGUUCUCCGUGGACCAGCAACGGACGUCAAGGAGGAGGUUCGAUUUUACGAGAAAGAGCAGCAACAGACAUCGUGGAAGACUGUGUACCCUUUCUCGUAAAAUCGAACCUCUUCCAUGACGAAUUACGGUGCCGCCCAGUUGAGAACAUGCUCACCGAGAUUAUCACGGUCUUCAAGUUCAACAAGUUCUGCAGUGCUAAGGUAAGAAUUUCUGUACAUAGAUGGCUUCUGCUACUAGAGGAAGUGGCGAUGGUGGGGGCGAUCGUCGUUCCUCUUUCGGCAAGGGAAAAAUCAUAGUUGGCCCUCAGGAUAAGCCGAAGAAAAUGAGCACGUUGGAGAAAGCACUACUUCGUUAUUUGCAGAAACGUCAUGAAGACGCUGUUGCCGCGGGUCAGGAACCUCCUUUUGGUGGUCGUUAUGCUCCACCCUCAGUCCCGGGUGUUUCACGUCCACUUAGUACUACCGUUUCAAGCGGCACAAAUAAACCACAGGAUGAGGCUGGGUCCGGAGCCUUCGUCUUCACCGUCCAAGGAUGCUUAAAGUCCUCCUAGAUAAUAACCAGUGGAUGGCUUGUUGUAUUGUAUCAUGUUGUUUGGAUCUUUAAUUUAAAUAUGUGUAUUUGUAUCUAUAUCUAAACUUUCAGCAUUAUUUGCACUACAACGUUUGACAUGCUUUCAAUCGGGAAUCCAUUUUCAAGUGUAAUCAAUUUUCACGCGUAAUCCAUUUUCAAGUGUAAUCAAUUUUCACGCGUAAUCCAUUUUCAAGUGUAAUCAAUUUUCACGCGUAAUCUAUUUUCAAGUGUAAUCCAUUUUCAUGCGUAAUAUGAUGCAAAUGGACCGGUGAUGGAUGUAUAAUGCAGACAGACGGAGCAAGGUGUUUAUUGAUGGCUUGCAUUAUUUUAUCAAAGUGGCCAAAGCGAACAAGUCAGAGAAUGGGUUCGUAUGUUGUCCAUGCUUCCAAUGCAAUAACAAGAAGGACUAUUCAAACCAUUCCUGGGGGACUAUUCACAACCACUUGUUUAGAUACGGUUUCAAGCCUAACUAUUUGGUUUGGACCAAGCACGGUGAAAGAGGGGUUGUAAUGGAAGACGGCGAGGAGAAGGAGGAGGAUGACAACAUUCCGGACUGGGUUGCAGGCCAAGCUUUUGCAGAUACUACAAUGGGCGAGGCUGAUGAAGAUGAGUUUGCAGAAAAUGGCCCUACUGAUGACCUUGGUCAGGUGCUACGAGAUGCACACAGAGAUUGUGAAACUGAGAAGAAAGCAGCAAAGUUGCAGCGCAUGAUAGAUGAUCACCAAAAAUUGUUAUACCCAGAUUGCCAGCAGGGCAAAAAAAAACUAGGUACGCCACUAGAAUUUGUGCAAUGGAAGGCAAAAAAUGGUGUGUCCGAUAAGGCAUUUCAGGGGAUGUUGAACAUUGUCAAGAAGAUUCUUCCCGAGAAUAAUGAAUUACCGUCCACAACAUAUGAAGCUAAACAGAUUAUUUGCCCUCUCGGGUUGGAUGUUCAGAAGAUACACGCAUGCCCUAAUGACUGUAUCCUCUGUCGUGGUGAUGAACAUGAGAAAAUGGAUGCUUCUCCCGUCUCUGAAGCGCUGCGGUAUAAGAUCAGACGAGAUGAUCCUGGUGAUGUCGAGGGGCAGUCUCCCAAGAAGAGAGUUUCCGCGAAGGUGAUGUGGUAUUUCCCUAUAAUACAACAGUUGAAGCGCUUGUUCAGGAACAAGGCGAAUGCUAAGUUGAUGCGAUGGCACAAAGAAGAACGUAUGGAAGAUGAGAUGCUGAGACACCCCGCAGAUGGGGCCCAGUGGAGAUCAAUUGAUAGAGCAUUCCCGGACUUUGAAAGUGAAGCAAAGAACAUAAGGUUUGGUUUAAGUACUGAUAGAUUCAAUCCAUUCGGUGAGUUGAGUAGUGGCCAUAGAACUUGGCCUGUGAAUCUAUGUAUGUUCAACCUUCCUCCUUGGUUGUGCAUGAAGCGGAAGUUCAUUAUGAUGCCGGCGCUUAUCCAAGGCCCAAACAACCCGGCAACGAUAUUGACGUGUAUCUAAGACUGUUGGUUGAUGACCUUUUACAACUCUGGAAGGAAGAAGGUGCACGUGUGUGGGAUAAGGAUAGACAAGAGAUCUUUAAUCUACGAGCAUUAUUGUUCGUAACCAUCAAUGAUUGGCCUGCACUAAGUAACCUUUCAGGAUAGACAAAUAAGGGAUACCGGGCCUGCACCCACUGUUUAGACAACACAGACAGCAUGUAUUUGAAGCACUGUAAGAAGGUCGUCUAUAUGGGUCAUCGUCGAUUUCUCCCUACUCACCACCAGCUGAGAAAGAGCGGGAUGCAUUUCAAAGGGGCACCAGACUAUCGUAAAAAACUUGCACACCGUAAUGGAAAGCGUAUCUUCGAGAUGAUAAAGGAUGUAAAUGUAGUCUUUGGAAAGGGUCAUGGUAGCCAACCUGUUCGACGGACGUGCACCCAUGUGGAAGAAAAAGUCAAUAUUUUGGGAGCUACCUUAUUGGGAAAUCCUAGAGAUUCGCAAUGCAAUAGACGUGAUGCACCUGACGAAAAAUCUUUGCGUGAACAUGCUAGGCUUCAUGGGUGUUUAUGGGACCUCGAAAGACACAUUGGAAGCACGAAUGGACCUGAAAGCCAUGGGGCAACAAGAUGACCUACAUCCAAAAAAGAGAGAUAAUGGACAGCACUACUUACGUCCUGCCAGUUACACUCUCAGCAAGGAAGAGAAGGAUACCAUUUUUGAAUGCUUGAAUAGUAUGAAGGUCCUGUCUGGGUACUCCUCGAAUAUAAAGGGAAUAAUAAAUAUGAAACAAAAAAAGUUUACAAAUCUCAAGGCCCAUGACUACCACAUGUUGAUGACCCAGUUGCUUCCGGUUGCACUGAGGGGUGUUUUACUAGAAAAUGUCUGGUUGCCGCUCGUAAAGCUAUGCCCGUUUCUCAAUGUGAUUUUGCAGAAGGCAAUCGAUCCAUCCAAGCUAUCAAAGCUACAUAACGAUAUGGUGCAAUGUCUUGUCAGUUUUGAGUUGGUAUUUCCACCAUCCUUUUUCAAUAUUAUGACGCACUUACUGGUUCACCUAGAAAAAGAGAUUGGUAUUCUCGAACCUAUAUACCUGCACAAUAUGUGGCCUUUUGAGAGGUUCAUGGCAGUCCUAAAAAACUAUGUUCUUAAUUGUGCCCGUCCAGAAGGAAGCAUCGCCAAGGGAUAUGGAACAGAGGAGGUGAUCGAGUUUUGUGUUGAUUUUAUUAACACAAUUGACUCGAUUGGGGUUCCAACUUCACGCCAUCAGGGGAGGCUCCGGGGAAUGGGCACCCUUGGAAGGAAAUCAAGUUUGAGCAAUGAUACUAAUUUGUUCGACAAGGCAAUCUACACUGUUCUACAACAAUCAUCCUUUGUGUCUCCGUAUAUCGAGCAGCACAGGCAGAUGGUAGUUUACAAAAACCCGACGAAAUCCAAUGCUUGGCUUACACGUCAUCACAUGGAAACUUUUCCCUCCUGGUUGCGCCAACAACUUAUGGGUAACUCUGAGAUUCACCCACAGCUCGCUUGGUUAGCUAGGGGACCUGCUAGCACAAUCGUGAAAUUCCAAGGCUAUGAGAUAAAUGGUUAUACAUUUUACACGAGAGCCCAGGACCAGAAAAGCACGAACCAGAAUAGUGGUGUCCGCAUAGAUGCCAUAGAUAGAAAUAAUAUCAAGGAGUCGUAUUAUGGUUUCAUACAGGAGAUAUGGGAACUCGAAUACGGACCGCUAUACACCCCUCUAUUUCUUUGCAAUUGGGUGAAGCUAACUGCCGUAACCAAAGAUCAGUACGGCAUGACAAUAGUAGAUCUGAGCAAAACUGGAUACAGUGAUGACCCAUUCGUACUUGCCAAUGAUGUGCAUCAGGUUUUCUAUGUGAAGGACAUGUCUAGCAAACCCAAGAGAAAUGCAGAAGAGACAUGGGAGCCAAAGUGCCACAUAGUUCUUCCAGGUAAAAGAAAAAUCAUGGGAGUCGAGGAUAAAACAGACCAAUCAGAUGAUUAUGAUCAGUUUGAUGGCAUGCCUCCAUUCGCAGUUGAAGUUGACCCAAGCAGCCUGCUAUCCAAAGAAGAGGCUCCGUACUUACGCCGCGAUCAUGAUCAGGGAACUUCCGUGAAGAAGAAAUUUUACAACGUUGUAUUGUAAUGCGCUAAAUUUACUUGACCUUUGUGUAGUACUUGAUACAAUUUUUAAUUUAACCUAUGUAUGAUUUCAUGUGUUCUUAAAUUUGUUGAGGUGAAGAUUUAUUAGAUAAACAUGAACAAUGUUAACCACAUACAUGGAUUUUUUUGCGUGUUGAAAUUAUUUAAUUGAAUAAUUUCUUGAUCAUAGCGAUGCAGUAAAAUAAUUAUUUUAGAGGCUAAACGAACUGUUAUAGAAUUAAUGACUAAUUCACACUUAUUAUCAGUAUACUUGCUAAUUAAAUAUAUUUUUGCAUGUUCAAAAUAUGUUAAGUUUUUUAUUUUUGCAUCCUGAAAUGCAGUGAAAACAUAAAUAAAAUCCUUUUCCAAAAAACAGGCGGGAGAUGAAAGUGUGGGAAAAGGCUCUUUUGUCCCGGGUGCCAAUAGAAACCGGGACAAAAGGACCUUUUAUCCCUGUUGCCAAAAGCAACCGGGAUCAAAGGCCGUCCCUUUUGUCGCGGGUGCCAACACUAACCGGGACAAAAGGCCCACUUUUUAUCCCGGUUGACAACUGCAACCGGGAUAAAAGGGUAGUUUUCGUUUCCCGCCGGGGACGUACCCUUUUAUCCCGGUUAGAGUUAGCAACCGGGAUAAAAGGGGGGCCCUUUUGUCCCAGUUGGUGUUGGCACCCGGGACAAAAGGGCCUUUAGUCCCGGGUUCAAUUACGAACAAGGAUAAUAGGGAAGGGGGAUAAAACCCUUCUUCUACCCCCACCCCACACCAGUUACGACACUUAGCCAAAUUUUCACCGCCACCAAGAUCCUACGCCCUCCCGCCUGCUCCGUCGCUGGCCACCAUCGUCCUGGCCGCCCAUCGCCUCGGCCAUCGUCAUCCCGCCGCCCGACCACCUCGCUCGCGCUCGGACCGCCUCGCCUGCGCUCGGACCGCCUCCUCCUCCAUCGCCCCAGCCCACCUCCGAUCCUCCUCCGUCACGCCCCCUCGACCUCAUCGCCGCCGGCCGCCUCCAUCACGGGGCCUUGUCGCUGCCUCCGUCAACGCCACAUCCUCUGUCGGCACCGUGCCCUCAUCCAUCACGACGCCUCAUCGCCGCCUCUGUCCCUCGUCGCCGGCCGCCUCUGUCCCUCAUCGCCGGCCGCCUCCACCCUUUGUUGCUGCGGCCACCUCGCUUCGUCCCCGCCUCCGCCGUCUCGCUGCCCCGGCCGUCGCCGUCCCGCUGCCCCGGCCGUCGCCGUCCCGCUGCCUUGGCCACCUCGUCGCCCAACUAGGCACCGCGCGAGGUCCGCCGGCACUGGUUCCGGGAACGAACGGCAGGGCCUUUUUUAUUUUUUAGUUACAAAAUGAAUAGAUAUUAGUAGAUUAGUUAGAAAAUCAAUAGAUAUUUGUAGAUUAGUUAGAAAAUUAGUAGAAAAUCACUUGAUAAAUUUUGUAGAAAUUCAUUCAAAUUAGUAGGAAUUAGUAGUAAUUUCCUAGAAAUUUCAAUAAAUAUGUAGAAAUUAGUAGAAAUUUGGUAGAAAUUCUUACAAAGUACUACGAAUUUGUUGAAAUUUGUAUAAACAUUCCGGACUUUGUGGGAUUCAUGUUAUUGUAAAAUUAUUGUAGAAAUUUUGUAGAAAUUCCAAUAAAUAUGUAUAAAUUAGUAGAAAUUUGGUAGAAAUUCUUACAAAGUACUAUUAAUUUGUUAAAAUUUGUAUAAACAUUUCAGCAUUUGUGGGAUUCAUGUUAUUGUAAAGUUAUUAGGCAUUAGUAGAAAUUUUGUAGAAAUUCCAAUAGAUAUGUAGAAAUUUAGUAGAAAUUCUUACGAAGUACUACUAAUUCUUUGAAAUUUGUAAAAACAUUCCGGACUUUGUGGGAUUCAUUUUAUUGUAUGAUUUCAUGUAUAUACCCUUACGUACAUGUAGCUAAGGCGAUUUCAUGUAUGUUUCAUUUCGUGUGAGGUUCCUAUUUCAUGAUCCAGUUCUAUGAUUCAUGACUGUCAUGUAUCAUUCCAUGUAUGUUUCAAUCAGUAGUUGAAAUGGCACACGACGAGACCGCAAGGUAUCUCAUGGAGCAGAUUAUUGCUGGUGAUAGUAGUGGUGACAACCUUCCAAUAUCGUACACCGAUGAAGAGGGCACCCAGGCGGACAUGUUCCUCAACAUGUCCGGCGAUGGGAAUGAAGAGCCUGAGCCCCAGCAACACCUUGCCGUGGCGGAAGGUUCCGGCGAGGUAUAUAUAAUUUGUAUUGUUUGACGCCACCGUUUAUACUACGUACUAAUUAACAAAUCUUGAACUGUUAGCCCUCUGGAUCGACGAAAGGGCAGAAGACCCGAGGUCGUACAAAGGUGAUGGAAGGGAGACUUGUCAUCACGGAAGUGACAGAAGAGGGCAGGCCGGUUGCUCCUGAAAAAGUAGCAAAGAAGUACGUGAGUCAGAUUGGGGCAAUCGUAAGGGACAACGUACCUAUUAGCAUUAGAGAAUGGAAGGGCAAAAGCACUAAUUCGUACGCGCUCCUGGAGACAUAAAUGAAUAUGCUGUGGGAAGAUGUCAAGAGACAUUUCACAUUUCCUGAAGGAUAUAUUGAAAAGGAUGUCAAAGUGUGGACGCUGAAGAAGAUGGCUACACAAUUCCAGACAUUCAAGAAGAUGCUGGAUGCCAACUACAUUAAGAAGGGCCGAACUCCAGAUUUCAAUGUGUGGCCAAAGUUGAGGGACCACUGGGAGGCAUUUGUUGAAUAUAAGAGGAGUGAAGACGGUGUGAAAAAGAUCAAGACCAACACUAGAAAUUCUGGUCAGAAGGGGUACCCUCAUAAUCUAGGGAGAGGUGGUUAUGGCACAACAAUUCCCAAAUGGAAGAAGAUGGAACAAGAUCUGAUCGAACGGGCAAUCGUACCUGCAACUAUUGAAUGGCCCAAACGAUCGAAAAAUUGGUAUUACUCUCAUGGAGGCUCCCUGAGCCAAGAGGAUGGGACGUUGAUAUUCAAUGAGACAAUAUGUGAGAAAGCCGAAAGUCUUAUGAAGAACAUUGAAGAUUCUAAGGCUGGGAGGUUGAAGGUGGACCGAGAGAAUGAUGAGCUCACAUUGGCCCUCGGUAAUCCCGAGCACCUAGGACGUUGUUGAGGUUUCAGGGUCAUUCCGUGGAAGUUUGCUUUCCGAGGCGACAAUGCAUCGUACAGAAGCUACAAGCGAAUAAAGGAACAGAUCAAGGAGAGCUGGCGGCAGAUGCUAGAAUCCAAAGUGCAGGCACAAGAAGAAAGAAUGUUGGAGGAAAUCAAUCGUCGAGUGGACCACGUAGUUGCGGAGUUAGCCCAAUCUGGAGCAUUGCCGAAUCCAAACUAUGCCAGCCCUUCUCAACGCCUCUUGAGCAGUUGUGCUUCUACAGGGGUCCUCGAUGUGCAGACGCCCAGGUUACCCGUGGAGGAGCAACGGUUCCCUGUGGAUGCCAUCACGCAACGCACCUCAUGUGAGCUGCAUGCACCGAUCGGGAACCUCACUAAUAAGGUAUACUUAUACAUAAUAUUUAUGCAAUCUUCUCAAAUGAUCCACGCCUCAAGAUCGGAGAGUUUAAUAACUUGUUUACUUCUUCUAUAUGUACAGGUGACGUACGGGAGUGCGUUAGCAAUCCUGGCAGGGCAGAUAAGUCAUGAAAUGGAGAUUCCACCUGGCUACGCCAACGUCCGUGUAGAGCAGCUAGUUGAUAGCCAAUAUGAAGGCCUAGAGCUCGACCUCCCAGGAGGCGAUGGGGAAAGGAUACUGGCAGAUGCGCUUCAUGGGAUCAUUCUAUGGCGCAAACGCUACAUCAUCAUUCCCGACACGAAGCCAUCUCCUCAGAGCUCAAGACCGCUCCCCAUAGAUCCCCAGCAUCGACCUUCUCCUCAUAGCUCGAGACCGUCAUCUCCUACACAACCUGCUCUAGGACCGUCGCUUCCUGCUCUAUCAAGGUCUCCAUCUCGACCGCAUCCUGGUGGUGGGAGCGACGACGACAAUAAGAACACCCCUCCUCGAUCACCGUCGCCGGGACUAAGAGCAGCCCCGAUGAAGGAACCUGCAGCACAACUAAAGAAGUCACGAGCACCGCCUCCCAAGCAAAGACAGAGAAAGAAGAAAACAAAGGAGCCUGAAGUGACUCGUAAGGAACGCUGGGAGGCAAUGAGUCAUGCAGAACAGUGGGCAGAAAUCCAAGCAGAGACCAGUGCGUGGUUCAAGAAACAAGCUGAAGAAAAAAAAAGCAAGGGAGAUGGAGUCACCGCCAGUAAAUCGAAGAGAUUUAAACUUUUUUAUCAGGAUGGAAGAAGGAGCGAAGAAAAGGAUACCACUACUAUCAAACUACGAACGGGCUUUAGUAAAAGCUGAUGAGAGGGACAAAAGGAAAGGAAAGUCAUCUUCCAAUAGUGUUGUCCCCGACCUCGGGCAUUUAUCAAAAAAAGACGCUCAAAAGGUAGCAGCAAUGCCCUUGGAUCAACAAGUACAAGUAUUGAAAUUCAUGGAAGAAACCGGUAUGGGACUUGAUGAAUGUUUAGGGCAAGUUGAGCCGCCAGCUGCACCGCCAGUUGAACCGAGAUGGAUUUUUGAGCUAGGCAAAUCUCUAGUAAGGCCUGACUUGGUACAGAAGCUAUAACAAAGAUGUACGAAUUCCAUCAAUGGUACAUGAAGGUGUCCGCCGACUUGAGGGAGAUGGUUGGCCUUAAGGUAAAACCGAUAGAUUUUUAAAGCGAAGGCGAGAAAGUUCUGUGGCUAGACUUCGAGGAUAUAUACGAAGUGUACAUAAUGAUGCCCUGGACAUCUCUCUGAUCAGAGCUUGGGUUCUGUAAGUGUCCGUUUAUCUACAUGUAAAUUUUGCCUCAUAUCAUUAUUUUUUUUGCGUGCGUCACCGUACUAACUUUGUCUUCCAUUUUAUGUAGCAUGCUAAUUCAGACGUGCCGACGAGAGGCGUACCUACAUAUUGGCUUCAUGGAUCCAUCCGUAGUUAACCAAAAGCAGAUACAAUUAUCGUCGGAAAAAACCUUGGUGGAAGUAUACAAUUUCCUAGACAAACAAAAAUUCAAUGAUUUCAUACUACUUCCAUACAACUUCAAGUAAGUGUGUGUAUACCGUCUACUUUCGUUGUCUUUUUCCUUACCUGAUUAAUUAGUUAGCCCUAAUAUGCAUGAACAUUUUACGUACGCAGCUUCCACUGGAUCCUGAUUAUAAUUGAACUUGAAAGAAACCACGUCACUGUCUUCGAUUCGUUGAGGAAAGAUCCGGUGGAGUACCAAGACAUGCAAGACAUGCUAGGCUUGUAAUAAUUCUGGACCUUUAUCUCUAUGCAAAAGUUUGUUUUCUAAAUUUUAUCCCUGUUACACUAUAUCAUUCAUUAUUCUAAUCCGCAGCGCAUGGAAACAAUUCAUAAGGACACACAAAGGUCCAUUCAAAGAAAAACUUACAUGGAACACAGACUUCCCGGUACGUAUGAAGUCUGCACAUUUAGUACAUUGUAUAAUACGAAUAUUUUAUAACUUAUUUUUUCCACACUGAAGUGCUUAAGACAGGAACCCGGGAAUAAUCUAUGUGGCUACUACAUCUAUGAGCACAUGCAUAGUUUUAUGGGAUCCAAGGGACUAAAGAUGACGCCGCACAACUUUAAAGUACGUAAAAUAAAACUAUUACUAGUUAAUUAUUUUCUAGCUCCUUAUAUUUAAUUGUUCGUGUAACAUUCACAAAUUUCCAAAUUAUAGAUGUUAAAUAUUCAACAAGGACUCUUGAAGAAUGAAAGAGUAGCGGCAAUAUGUGAAGGUCUCAUUGGAUUCCUAAUGGACGAGGUGGUAAAUCCACAAGGAGAAUUUUAUUACGAUGGAUGACAAUUAGAUGCUCUGAGCAACAUCUCGAUGGGAAGAUUGUAGAUAUAUAGUUUGAUUUGUAUAUAUAAUACGCGCUAAGAUCGAUUUGUAUAUAUAGUUGAUUUCAUUAUACUAGUUGCAUUGUAUAUAUGAAUUGUGUAUAUAUAUAGUAAUUGUAUAAUUACAAAUUUCAUUCGUUUACAUACUAGUUGAUUUCAUUAUAAAAAAAGUCUCAACUACUAAAGGUUAACAAAAGGGCCGCGAUACUACGUACGUGAUGCAUAAAAAUUUCAAGGGCUAUGCAGGACGCCAUUUAGUCCCGGUUGGCUUUCCCAACCGGGAGUAAAGGGCUUGUCCCGCGCCUGGCGUGGCAGGCCCUUUAGUCCCGGUUGGUGGAACCAACCGCGACUAAAGGGUGACCUUUACUCCCGGUUGAAGGAUCCGGGACUAAAGACCCCCCUUUAUCCCGGUUGAUUUAUCCCGGAUGGAUUUUCGGAAGAUAUGCACCCUACCAACCGGGAUUAAAGGCCAGUUCUCUACUUAGUGAAAACUCGAACAAGAGAGCCUCUGCACUACACUAGCUUCCUUAUACACAUCUUCCUUCAUUAAUAUUACACUUUGAACAAAAAUUACCAGAACAACUGUAUUAUAUUGGUUUUAUAUAGAAAGCACCAAGUCUCUACUGGACAAAACUCUUGUGACAGAUGCUCCUUAUAUUAUGCAGUAUUAAUAAACGUCAUACAACUUGUCAAAUUAUGUCCAAUCCUAGUCCUGGCUUCGUGGCUCCUUAUUUUUUACAUCCAUGAGACAUACUAAUACAUAUUCUAAGCAAACAUGUUAGUUUCGUUGAUUAUAUUGUGAUAUCAGUCACUAAAACUAGUGCCAUCUUCGCUCUAUCUAUUUAUAGAGAGACGGCGUUACAAGGCCAACACCUAUCUAGCUCUGCCGUAAUACAAUGCGGUCCAUGUAACCCCUUUCAGUACAAAAUAUUCUGCAAACUGUUGGUAAAUGGUAACAUUGCCCGCCUGGUAAUAUAACACUCUCGAUGAUCUACAUACUUAUUUUUCGAAAUUAAGAUAUCUGAACUACAUACAUUCUGAAAUAAUGUCAUACUUACGUGGAGUAUUUUUUUCUGAACGAGUUGGAGUAAUAUAAUGUACGCAGUGUGCUUCAACUGAGUUUACAGGCAUAGUUUUAAUUCAAUAAAAAAAUUUACAGUUCUUCGGAAAUAUCAUAAAACUAAAUCAAGAGUUUUGUAGUACCUUAAUGUGCUACAUAUAGAUAUUGUGUAACUGUAAAAAUGUAUGGCACACGUACGGCAGGUCGAGUAUAGGACCCAUUUCAAAUCAUGAAAUAGUACGAAAAGAUAAAGGACUAGAAAACCUGAGUGUCUCAAUAACACAUAACAAUCUCCUUUUUUAUUUUUUAUGGAUCUUUCUAUGAUUGAUUGCCAGAACAGCCCCUUGGCUUCUCGAGACGGCUUCUACAAAUAUGCCUAGUCGCCCCUUGCCAUGCUCAAGAUCCUCAGUCCUCACACACUUCAGCAAGCUCGCCAACCUCGGAGCCGCUAGAAGAUGAGCGGCAAUCCACUGCCGCCGGGGGCCUGGACUACCGGCCUCUGCGGCUGCUGCGAUGACUGCAAAAGCUGUGAGUCACGGCCCUGACCUUUAUUUCCGAAAUUAAAGCCUUAAAAACAACUUGAAUAAUUUUUAAUCUAAGGUCGUUGCAUAUGAAGGACGUAAGACCUCAUCUUAACCUUGUCUAAACAUGGCUUAAUUUUACUGACCUAGGCAGCCGAUCGACGUUCGUGCAGGCUGCCUGGCGUUCUUCUGCCCGUGUGUCGCGUUCGGCCAGGUGGCGGAGACCUUAGACAAGGGCGCCACGUGUAAGUUUUUGUUACAUUGAAUUAUCCCUGCUUGCUCAAACAAAAUGCAACUACAUACUAAUACUACUACUACUUUUCAAUAUGCAGCCUGUUGUAUGGCCGGUACGAUCUAUUGCGCACUGUUGCACGCGGGAGUGUGCCUGCUCCACUGCCUCUACUCCUGCUCCUACCGCCGGAAGCUCCGGGCGGCGUACGGCCUGCCUGCGGAGCCAUGCGCCGACGGCUGCGUCCACUGGUUCUGCGAGCCAUGCGCGCUCGCCCAGAUGUACCGGGAGCUCAAGAACAGAGGCGCCGACCCGGCAGAUGGUAAGCAGCGCGUGCUUGUAUCCAUCCAUCUCAUGAGUUCCAGUUCGGAUGAAAAUCGAAGUAUUUUCACAAUCAACCAUAGAUUAUUGGCCUCGGUGCCCUCUCCGGCACUCGCUCUCGCUCUCAAACAUUAAUUCUAAGCCUACUCUAAAUAUGAACGGCACAGAAACGAAUUCUCACUCUAGUUCCAGUUCCCCAUUUAACCCCAGUUUCUCAACCGGGACAACCAAAUCAGCACUGAAAGUCUUUAUCUUUAAUCUCGGUUGAAAUACCCGGGACUAAAGACAACCUUUAGUCCCUAUCGGUAUUACCAACCGGGACUAAAAGUGCCUCCAUGCACAUGGCCCUUUAGUCCUAGUUGGUGUAGGAUUUAGUGACUGGUAGCCCACCCAGAGGUACCCAGAUGGUAGAUUUGUAGGCGAGAGAGAUUGUGAAACAAAGAACUCGAAUGGUAACAUAGAGACGCAAGGUUCAGACAGGUUUGGGCCUUCGGAGAGUAAUACCCUACUUCCUGUGUUCUGGUGGAUCGUAUUGCUGGUAUGAAUUGUUAUGGGUUGGCGUGCCCUCGAGGGGUGUCCCUGGCCGCCUUAUAUAGACCAACGACCUAGGGUUACAAGUCGGAUAGGAUCUAAUUCUAGUCGGUUGUUACAUGGAAAGCAAUCUAAGUCGGACUACAACACAUAUCCCGCAAUAUCUCGGUAGAAUUUGUUUUGCCUAGCCUUGCCAAGCUCGUGCUUCGCAGAACUUCACGCCUUGCCCCACACGCCAUGAUCGGAAGUGGUGGUUAUAUGCUCAUUGGUCCUCGUCGUCGAGAUGGUGGUUGUUGCUUUGUGAUUGCUCCACCUCCUCCUCUUGAAUAGGUUCCAGCUGACCUCCCCUGCGGCAGCUGUGGUCAGCUCGGCUGCAAUCGGAUCUACUCUGGGUAGAUCCACCUCGGGAGUGCCGGGUAGAUGUAGUUUCUUGAGUGUGAUGACUAGCUUCUGGAGCGUGCCGGGGAAUUGGCCCUUUCCUCGAUCUGGGCGUUGGCAACACGGAUGCGUGUCCGGAUCCGCUGUAGUUGUUCCGAGUUCGGAAGAUUUUCCAGGUCGGCAAAGACAGCCCCCAGGUUGGCCUAGGUGGUGAAGACGUCAUGUUCGUCCUAUUUGAAGUCGUUCUGGAGGUUACGAGCGCGCACAAGGUUGGGACGCCUGCGCCGACCUCCAGCGUCUCCUUGGUCGCCAUUGUCGCCGCUGUUUGGUGCCGGCGGGACGGGUGCUAUGCCGGCCGCUGCAGGGGCGGCAGGCGGCUAACAAGCUUACUCAGCUCGUUCCUAUUGCCGACGUUUGCCACGGUCUCGGCUCCUCUCAUUGCACCCUUCCUCCUGAGAGGAAGUUUCACCAUCACGGGGAGGUUCAUCAGCGGAGACAGCAAAGACUUCCUGAUCUCUCCAUUUUGCCUCAUGCUGAAAAUCUCAAAUUUCUCUAUCUCUAAAUCAUAAAACAAAGCAUACUAACGAUGAAAGAAGGGAGUAUGAAGUUGCUAACUUUAGAAUACUUGGAUGAGUGAAAUUCUCAAGAAAUCGUGGAAAAAUUGUGCAGCACCCUAUGCUCGUGAGGUCACCAUGGAGAAGAGCCCAAGCUCUCGGUCAAUGUGUGGCUCGGGCUCGGGAGGAAGAAGUUGUUUUAUACGUGGAUAUUUAGUCCCGAUUGGUAACACCAGCUAGGACUACUUACUGAGUAUUAAUCCCGCUUGGUGUUACCGAUCGGGACAAAAUGAGCCUAAGCUCAUUAGUCCCGGUUGGUGAGUAUUACUCCUCGUUGGUGUUACCAAUCGGGACUAAAUGUCCUCCAGAUUCCCUCCGUAGGAAGUAGUCAUUACAAUCAGGAUUAAAGGAGCUCUUUAUUCCCAAUUAGUAAUACCAACUGGGUCGAUUGUGGCUAUUGGACCCGGGACUAAUAACUUAUUAGUCCCGGAUCCUGUUUCAUCCGAGAUUUUUAUUGAUGGAUGGAUGUCUAGUUCUCCACUAGUGUCAGAUCACACGUAAUCAUGUUAUAUUAGUUAAAGAUUAAUACAAGUAUGGCUAUGCUGGAACUCACUGGGAUCCAAAAUCCAGAAGGAAAGGGAUACAAUUUUGGGAUAUCAUAAUUUCGAUAUGCCAAGGAAAGAUACAUUGGUCCAUGUUUUGCCGUCUUAUAUAUAGUAGCCGUCUUAUAUGGACCCAGAAGCAAAAUGAUUCUUAUAGGACGGCACGGACGAGUAGCCGGGCGGGUGCGAGCGGGCGGUGCGGGGCUGGCGCUUAGUGCGGGUGGCGGGCGGGUGGCCGGGCGGGCACGUGCACGGGCGGGUGGCGCGGGUGGCGCGGGUGGCUUUGUUUCUUAUUUUUUUGGAAAUUUUUUAGUCCCGGUUGGUAACAUGAGCUGGACUAAAGUUUCCCUUUAAUCCUGGCGAAUAAUCCGGGACUAAAGGAUCCCCUUUGUCUCGAAUAGUUAAUCCCGGUUAGAUUUUUGGGAUCUAUGACCCUUACCAACCGGAUGGUAAAGGUCUGUUUUCCAGCUGUGGGAGUACAUGCUAUUAAUUUGGACAUGAUGUAACAUUUAGAUCCAAAGUAGAACGUUAGCUGUCCUUUAGAUCAACAGCAAGAUUCCACUUAUAACAUGCAUGAUUGCGAAUGGUGGUUUCAACGGAAGACAACUUUGAUAUGAUUGCAAAGUGCAUUCCCAAAGAAGUCAAAGAAGAACAUGAUUAUAUUGUAGAAGGACCCUGCUUAGUGAAACUAGUUUUGACGCCCCAGAUAUUUAUAUAAUUUUAUAUAAACUUGAUCAAAGCUAAAAUAGUUGAUUUAUGACAAAACUAAAAUGACUUAGAAUUUGUUCCGGAGGCAGCGAUGAGACUUAUGUAUCCUCAGCAUAUAUGUAGCACGUGGCAGUAGUUAAGAAAUGAGUGUCGACGACGACCUUAUCAUACGAGGAAUAUAAGGCUACAUUUGUACUUGUACGCUGGUAACAUGAUUGCAAAGUAAGGAACCACUUGCACACGUGACACGUUCUUCCUAAUACAUGUACGAUGUAUCGGCAGAAUGCUGCCGUCACUCCAGACUAAGAGGUGGAGACAACAAGAGCAAAGCACUAUAGGAGGCAUGAAAUGGUGGCGACGGGACCGGGAAAGAAAGUGGGACGCGCGCGGAUGGCGCAACCGUACGUUGGCAGCAUAAUUUCGUCUUUCUUUAUGUUCCAUCACGAGCGCAACGACCUCCACUG
rnacentral:lncRNA from 1 species